AAAUUACAGAAUAUGCAUCUCUGUGUCGACGACAUGUUGCUUUAUUCUUUCUGUACAAAUAAAGUGCGUGUUUCAACUUCCAAUUCAACUCUGAAGGUGUGCCGGAAGUUGGCUACGUGCUGGACGUUGUGCCUGGCAAGACCUACCUGCUACGAGUAAUCAACGCCGGUCUCUUCUCAGAGUUCUACCUAAAGAUAGCUGGGCACAAAUUCACAGUGGUCGCCGCCGAUGCCAACUAUGUCAGCCCCUACACCACGGAUGUCAUCGCGAUCGCGCCUGGCGAGACAGUGGACGCACUGGUUGUUGCCAAUGCAACACCGGGCAGGUACUACAUGGUUGCCCUGCCCAACCAGGCGCCACGGCCGGACACUCAGACCAAAGAAUUCACUACUAGAGGGAUGGUACAGUACAGAGUCAACCACAGCUCCAUGACCAAUGGUCCAGCAGCACUAAGGUCAACACGUGGCGCAAAAGAUGAAGAAAAUGAUGGUCUAUCAGGUGAUGUGGCACUAGCUCCUCAGAUGCCUGACGAACAUGACACGAUGACAUCAUUCUACUUCCACAGCAACUUGACCAGCCUGCAUCACCUGUCGGUUCCUCAGCAAGUGGACGAGAACCUGUUCCUAGUGCUUGGCCUCGGCUCAAUCUGUAGGAAUGGCCAGCAGUCCUGUAAGAGGGGUGGUAAUAACAAUGAGAGUAUCGUUGUCGCAACCAUGAACAGCGUCGCCUUCCAGCACCCCACGGCGAAUGUGCCACUACUAGAAGCGCACUAUUACCACUCCGGUCUCUUAGAUGCAGUGCAAGAACUUCCAGAUGGGCCACCGAGGGCGUUCAACUUCACUGACAAAGCCUUGAUUCCAUUUGGACCAAAGGAGAUGCGGCUAGAGCCGUCGUCCAAGGCCACAGCGAUGCGGCGGUUCCAACACGGAGCCGUGGUGGACAUCGUGUUCCAGAGCUCGGCGAUUCUGCAAGGGGACUCCAACCCAAUGCAUCUACAUGGUCACGACAUGUUCCUGCUUGCAGAGGGGCUUGGUAACUACAACGCAGCGAAAGACGUAGAGAGGUACAACCUGGUGAACCCACCAGUGAAGAAUACCGUUCUCGUCCCAAAUCUUGGAUGGGCUGCCGUACGAUUUGUUGCAAACAAUCCAGGUGCGCAAAAUAUUUGUUUUUUUGCCCACUGUAUUUGCUAUGAAAACUUCAAAUUCAAUGGAAACAUGGAGAACACGAUUUCAUUUAGACUCUGCAUCUGUUCAAAAUAAUCUUUGUGAAGUUUUGACGUGGCUAGCAUCUUUGAUACGAAUUUUUGUUUAGUCCAUCUUUUCUUUCCCAACAAUGGAUUUCAUUAACACAGUUACAUUGUUAGGUACUCCCUACAAACAAAAUACAUUAGGCUUAGAGUUGUUUGCAUUGACUAGGAAAGCCAACAAGCACAUGAUCUUAUAAUUUGUUUAGAAGAGGCCAAAAAAAUACUAUAUUGUCUACCUUAUUCGUUGGAUGCCAUAAUAUGUCCCGUGAGUUCUAAUGCUUUAUAUUAUAUGCUGUAAUUUACAGGGGUAUGGUUCAUGCAUUGUCACUACGAGUUUCAUUUGACGAUGGGUAUGGCGGCAGUGUUUAUUGUAGAGGAUGGUCCAACUGUGGACACAUUUCUACCUCCACCACCUUCAAAUUUUCAAACGUAUUGUGACCGUGACGAAGAUCUCCUGCAAACAAAGAAAACUAAAGCCUCAAUGGAGUCUACAAUAUAACCUCAACAUCGAGAUUCCAAAUAAAUUAGCAGGGUGGCCCACAAUUUUUUCCCUAGUAUCAAGACUCAAUUAUGCAUAUGCUUGUGUCAUUCCGAGACGGUGUCAGUAGUCCACCAGGGGUAAUUCCUGUGGUGUAGAUUGUUUAGAAGGGUUCACCGGAUAUGGACGUCGAUGGUACCAUAGAGAUGUAAGAUUUUAAGUAAAAUGCACUAGAAGUCCAUCAAUUUGUAAGGGUGUGUCACUUGAUCAACUCCGAAAAUGCAUUUUUAGGUCUACAACCUCGUUAGGUUGUGUCAUCUAGAUCCAUAUCCCUCCAUCUUGACAUUUAGUGCUUACGUGGCAUGCUGACUGGACAACUCUCUCAACCCAUCAUCUUCGUCUCAUUCCGGCCCCAUGGUCCCUGGGUGGGGCAUUUUGUCGAACUGGCUGUGGGCUAGAUGAUCUCCAGCGGAUGCGCAAGUGCGUGGCCUCGCCGUAUUGGCCGACGAGCAUAGCGUGCGGACGUGCGACAAUUGUUUGCACCGCCGCGUUGGCGGACGUGCGGUCGUGGUAAAGGUGUUGUGGCGGACUGGCGGGAUGUGCACGGCAUCAAAUACCUCAACGAGCUACUGUCCCUAGCGCUACAUGAAGAAGUGGAGAAUUAGAAUUGGGAAUUCUGCGGCACGGUGCCGGUUGUACGCUCCUCUGGUUCCCUAGCCGCGCCUGUGAGGCAAGGUUUAUGCUAGCUACUUCACCUCCCUGCCGCGCACAGGCGCGCUAUGGCCCCACGACAGCUGGAGGAGUGUAGCAGCGCGCUGCGCCGGGUGUGGUCAUCCUUGUCACACCAAAAAAUUAAAUUUUGGGUUGUGAAUAGAAAAUAUAAAUAAAAUAUAAUUUCUAGUAUUUUUCUAAAAUUUCCAACAUUUAAUCGUUCUCAUUUUAUAUAGUGAAAAUCUCUACCUAAUAUUAAAGUGCGGUUGUUUCUUCCAACCAUCGUGGUUGUUUUGUAAAAAAGUCUUUCAACUUUUUCGUAAUCAACCCACGGUCCUUGAAACAGUUCUUGAUGAUGGAAGGCUCGAACUCUCCCGUCGUGGUCGGCCAGGACUCGUAGGUAGCAAAAAUAAUAGGGAGGCCGCCCUCCUCCACCCACUCACCUUGCCCCUGCAUGCACGUCGCUUAUUAGUUGUUGCUCCCCUCCGUGUCCAUCUGCUUCAGCCAUGGGCCCAUGGCGCAUUGAUCCAUGACGUGGUGCAGCGAGGGAAAACGAGCGCGGGAACAGCUCGCGAGGCUGUAGGUCAUGCUUGAGCUUGUCCUCAAGGCCCUUGCAUGGACAUGCUGCACUAGCAACCAACAAGAAGACCUAGAGAUGAGUAAUUGAGAGAGGGAAUGCUUGGCGUGGGUGCUCUGCAGCUGUGGUUUGCCUAUUUGAAUGAUGAAGGAGCACAGAAAAAAAUCAAGAGAGAGGUAGGGAUGGUGCUUGGUACGAUCGCCUCUUAGAUGUGCUUCGUAUUUUGGUCUCUUAGAUGUGCUUCAUGUUUUGGCCCAAAACAAUUUAAACUGCGAAGUAAAUUUGACUUUAAAAAUUAGAUACAAAUAAUACGAAGAGAAUUAAAUAGCAAUAAAACUAAUCCAAAGAAUAAAAAAAUAUUUUGUAGUUCAAGGAUCUUUCCAUAGAUAAAAAAUAGGACUUGAAGGAUUUUUUAGAGCACUCGAACUUAAUAUGCGAAUAAUUGAGAUUUUGAGCGAGAGCUCUAUAUUGGAUCUUUCUGAAAAUUAGAUGCCAAAAGAGAUGGCCCUUAUCCUCCACGGUGAAGCAAUGCCACCCUUGAUCGAAGCACCUACAAAACGCUCCUUGAUGCAGCUCAUGAGGGAGGCUAAGCAAUGUGAAAGCCGAGUGAGCAAAUGUGGUCGCAGGGCCAUCACAAUCAAUGAUAGCAGUUGUACUUAGACAAUAGCGGUGACUCCACGCUCAACAAAUGACAGCUGAGUAUCAUCAAAACAAGACAACUUGCGAAUAGCAACAGUUGGAUGCUAGACUUUUUUUCCUUCUGUUGCAACACACGAGCAUAUUUGCUAGUAAAAUUCGAUGGCGGAUGUUGCAUUCAUGAUGACUGCAUAAAGUUUUGGAUGAAAAAAUAAAGUUAAACUGUUUUAAAAUGCGAUUAGGCUUUUGUUCCAUCUAAAUCCAGUUUUAAAAUCCUAAAUCAUUAGUUUUUCCUCUUGAGCGGGCUCUGCUUUUAAUUCUAAUACAAUCCAUCUAUUCAUUUAUUUCUCCUUCCUUUCUCUCUAUCUCUUUUCUUUUGCUUGCCGAGCCACCUCUCUGGCAUGCACGUGAAAUACCCCUCAAACAAGCAAGCAACCAGGUCAUAAUGUUUUUGUUGAUACUGUUUUUUGACAUACAUCAAAGAUGGUGUCAAAAGGAAGCGGAGAUACCGAUGCAUAGUGGAAAGAUAACGGCUAGUGGGAUCGACCGAUGGGGUUGCAAAGGGCUCAGCCGAUGAAGCUAUAAGAGAUCCGCCGAUGAUGGCGAAAGUCUUGCCGAUAAAGGAAGAUAGAGGCCUAGCCGAUGGAAUCACAAGGGUGUAACCGAUGGAAGAUGACAGGGACAUAGCCAAUGGGGUCAGCCAAUGCGAGCAGAAAGAUUCUAGCUGAUUGGAAAUGUUAGAGGUUCGUCUGACGAAAGGCAGGUUUUGGCCGAUGGAGGCCAAGUUCGUUUCUGACUCCUGUACGUGUUGUUUUUUCUUUGUUUUGUUUACAGAGUUUGUUUCUUUAGAGAUAGAUCUUAUGUUUUGUCGUAAUCGACUAGAGGCCCUGUGAGGUCUGGAAGGUUAUACACAUCAUAAUCAAUACAAAUCUACUUUUCUUCGCAAUUUACUUUCAAGUCGGCGACUUCUCCAUUGUUUUCUUUUCUUCACGAGUUCUUCCAAGUUAGUUGGGCUGCAUCGCUUCGAUCUCCAGCUAGACUAUAAGUUCCGUGCCUACCGAAUACUUUCCAGGCUUUAACAUUGGGCGCAUCGCUGUCGUUUCGUCUAGAUUUAUUCAUAAGUUAUCGAUAUUUGCUAGAUCUGCAAGCUUUAUUCAUUAAAUCUUAUUGUUUUAGCUUUUAUCACAGUUAUCCAGCUUGGAACAUGUUUUGAUCGGCUUUUACCUUGUUUUUCUUAUCAAUCUACUGUGUAACAGCCGAUUAGAUUUGUUUCAAGUGUUGUUCGCGUAGUACUGUUUAGGUUGUAUUUUACACUUCCUUUGCAUCUACUACGUCCACAUCGACUGAUCUAUCCAAUUGUCCUUUGCCCGUGUCUGCUGUCCUGCCGAUACGUCCUGUGGAGCGAUUCGGAACACCAGCUGAUUUGCUCUUGUAUUUAAUGUUUUACUUAUCCUUGUCAAUCAGCAGGUUAGAUUGACUGGCACACCGCGGAUCGAGAGGGCUACAACCCGAACAGGAGCGAAGCAGAUUCUCCCGCGUUUUGUGUAUUAGUACGCAUGAGUCAACCAUCUAAUUUUUGCGUCAACAGUUUUACUACGAUAAACCACUACGCAUUCAACUCAUCUCUCUCUAACCUGCAUGCACCCUUAUAUAUGUUUAUCUCCUUCAUGUCGACGUAGUUGAUUUCUCCCUAGCAGCCACGGCCAACUGCUCAAGUUCCAGCAAGUGCACAAUCAAACCACACUCACGAAAAUCGUCAACAGUUUUACUACCAUAAACCACUACGCAUUCAACUCAUCUCUCUCUCUCUCUCUAACCUGCAUGCACCCUUAUAUAUGUUUAUCUCCUUCAUGUCGACGUGAUUUCUCCAGCCACGGCCAACUGCUCAAGUUCCAGCAAGUGCACAAUCGACCCACACUCACGUACAUCCACCAAUGUGUGAAACUAAUUUUCCCACUCCACUAUCCUUCAAACUCCACUACAAGAUAUAUCAAUCGUUGCUCUAGUGGCAUUCAUCUCUUUGCAUGGCCCUUUUGUUUCCCUGCUCCCAUCUAUAACUAGAGUCUCGCUUAUUCCAUCACCUUCCCGCAUCAUCUCAGUGAUCCCUCCCAGAACCAUCUCGCCCUUUAAAAUCAAGUCAUCAUCUGCUACUUCGUGCCAGCAAGGACUCUCGCUGCUUUGGUCGUUUUUGUGAGCUUUCUGCCCGUAGCCGUUUUCCAAAAUGUUUUAGUUUCACUACCGGAGAACUUCCAUCUAGAAGCUUUUGUCCCAGUUGCCUUUGUACCUGGGACUAAAGUGUCUCGGGUCAAAAAUGAGGCAUCGAAGGCCACCGACGGGAGGGGAUUUAGUCCCCGUUGUAAAGACCAAUCGAGACUAAACCCCCCUGUUAGUCCUGGUUAUAACGGCUAGUGGGACAAGGAGCAUUUAUUCCUGAUUUGUGUUUCCAACUGGGAUAAAAUGCCCCCCAUCCUACGCGGCCCGCUCUCUCUCCACCUUAUCUUCUCCUCCCCCUUCCACCCUCCCUUAUCCUCGUGCAGUGCCUUCUCUCUUCCUCCAACAGCACCUCCUCUCCUCCCUCUCCUCCUCUCUCAUUUCUGCGUCGCCGCCGCCCCCUCCCCCUCUACUGCCCCUCCCCUUUCCCCUCCGCUCGCCUACUUUUUAUUUUUUUUCACCUUUUUAGUUCCAGUUGGUAAAGUUGGUCUUUAGUCUUGGGUGAAUGACCCGAGACUAAAGGAGCCCCCUUAUCUCAGAAACUUAGUCCCGGUUGGAUUUUCGGGAUCUAUGGCCCUAUCCAACCGGGACUGAAACUGCAGUUUCCAGUAGUGUUUGGUAUACUGUUUUCUUACUCAUCAUUUGUUUACUUGUAUAUGGUGCUUGGCGUUAAUAGAAGAUGACUGGCACGUGUCUUCCCGGAGCAAGAGUUUGAAGAUGUUGAUCAACCCCGAGAUAACAACAUAUCCAGCAACCUACUUUAUUUUAUUUUACUUAGAGUAGUUAGACCAUUAGUUGUGUCAUUAACUUGAAUCCCAUCAUACCUUAAAAAGCCUGGGUUUGGUUUGUAGUAUAAUAUAUGCUUACACUACUGAAAAAAUGGCGUCUAGUACCGGUCAGUAACCCCCUCUAGUACUGGAUGCGCAAUCGGUACUGGGCAAUCGGUACUAGAGACUGGGGGGGGGGGCUUUAGACCAUUACCGGUCAGUAACCCUUUAGUACCGGUUGAGGACACAAACUGGUACUAAAGGGCUUCCCACGCCGCGCGAGGAGGUGCCCUCAUUAGUACCGGUUCGUAUCCCCAACCGGUACUAAUGUAUUUUUACUUUCUUUUCUUAUUUUCUGUUCCUUUAUUGUAUAUUCGUAUUUCAUAUUUGUUUCCUUUAUGUAUACUAGUUCAAAUACGCUAAUAUAUGUAAAGUUCUAUUUAUCUUGUAUAUAACAUUUCAGAUAAUAUUAUAUAAAUAUAUAUAUACAUACAUACAUAUUGUGCAUACACAUAUAUGAAUAAUAUUACACAUUGCAUACACAUAUCGUAUUUACUAUUAUGAACCUAAGGCCGGUUUGUACACUAGCAGAGAUACGUCAUGGAAACUCCCCCAAAGGAUUUCCGACCUUAUCCAGAACAAAUUGGCAUAACUGUUCUUGUAUUGCCCUGAAAACUUCUGUAUCAACGAGUCUUGCCUUCCUGGUCAUCAUCUGUGUCAUUGGCAAAUGAAUUAGAAAUACUUAAUCUAAAUUUUUUCAACAAUUGAAACUAUUUUGAAGUACAAGCAAAUGAAUUGAAAUACUUCAUAUAAUUUUUCUAAGUAUAUACACUUGGAUUGAUUUUUGAAGAAUAUACACAUGAACUAAUUUAUUGUUGAAAAAUAUACGUAUGGUUAAUUGGUGUUCGCUGAUAUGACCGAGCGGACCGAUGAAGGCAUGGAUGCAGUCACAAACAUAGUAUCCGCAUAAUUCAGUACCCUUCGGCUAUCUCGCACACUGUAUAUAUGGGAAAAAGUUAUGUAAUAUUUUUUGUGUUAAAGGAAGUGUCACGAGAUGUGAAAAUUCAGCACAUACCGGGAAAUCUAUCUUCCAAUCAAGUUUCUCCUUGAAAUCACCAUUGUGAGUUUGAUGGAAUCGAGCCCAGCAUUUGUUCACAGUGUUCAUGAUGUCAAUGUAAUUUUCCUUUGGUUUCCUCAAGGAGUCGAAGACAUACACAUUGCUCCAAUAGGGCACAAUAACCAUGAGUAUCCAAUGGUAGCUGUACAUCCAAAUUGAAGCUAGUUAGUAUUAUGUUUAAGUGCUAGUUCAGAAAAAAAGAGAUGGUAAAAACGGUCACUCGAAGUUCCACGGUAAUAAUAUGCAUUUUUUGUCCCAAUGCUUGUUGAGGAACACAAAUAUAUUGUUCGUAGUCUCAUCUAGCUUAUCCCUUAGAGUAUUCUGGUGUACAAUUGAGGGGUUCAUGAAGCCUACUUCAUUGUAUCCAUUCUUGCGACAAUAUUGCAUCUCCAUCCUGCAUGGUACACAAUCGAAUAGGAGUUAAGACAUCACAAAUUGACUAGAGUAGAGAUUUUGAAGUUAGAGAAAUAUACUAAAGACUUACAGGACCCAACAACUGAUCAGUGAAUUAUCUAGUGCUUGUUGAUUGAAUAGCAUGUAAAUUUCCGACAGUAAGACCAUUAUGAUGUCAUCACCACGGAAGUAAUGUUGAUCAGCAACCCGAACUUCCAUCGCAGCAUAACCAUUUGAUGUGGCAUCCAUAUACCAUUGGUGCAGAUUGUACAACUUCAUUGAUAGAUAUUUCACCAACUUCAGAAUCACAAGCUCUUUACCAUACUCAUAUUUCCAUUUUUCUGGCACAGGGAGCGUUGGGAUGUCAUCCUCCCCUAGAAGUUGUGCUACUGUUCGAUUUGUAUCAUUAGCAAAUUCAAGCAGGUUUUUGUAGCACCACAAGCGGGGCAACCGAUUGGUUGGAUUGCUCUCCGAGUUGAGAAAUAGAUUUCUCACUUUUCUUCCUCGUAUGAGCUGCCUGCUUUGUUAUCUGCCUGUCGUAAUCAGAUAGCGGAGGUUUCUCUAGCUUUUUCCUUUGCUCUGCCUCCAUUUUUUUGAUGAAAGACCAAAACUUACGCUUAUCCAGUGCUGGCUCCGGAUUCUGUUUCUUCAACCAUGCUUCUUUUCAAGCCUUAUUCCAUGAUUCGAACUUAGCCCUUGUUGCUUCCUUGCUCUCCUCAUUUGUCCUUUCAUAAGGUAAUAUCUUAGCUGGUGCCUUCUCCUUCUGCUUCUUCUACUUCUUCUUAGGAGGUAGAGGUGGAGUAGGAAUUGAACGCUUCUUCGUAGGAGGGGGAGGUGGACUCAUGCUUGGAUCCCUUUCUAGUACUGUACUCCUGCUAGGAGACCUGUCUGGUAGUGGAGUGUGUGCCCUAGCAGAUGGCGUAGAUCAUCUUGCCCUUGAGCCUUGAGGAGAUGAUCCCAAAAUUUGGGGAUUCAGCUGCGUAAUCCUUAUGAAGCGCUUGGGCCACUGAAUCCAACCAUGGAUAGGUUCUCCUAGAUUCUUUUCCUUGUCACCUCUAGGGAUCUCCAGUUCUAGGUCCUCCCAACCAUUGACCACUCGGUCCACCCCAACUUUGGCAUAACGAGCUUGAAUCUGCACGCCAUGUAGUGUUUGGCCUUGCGUCGGUUCCUCAGCCACACCAUAAGCCACCACUAUGAGCUUGUUUCUUAUGGGAGUAACAAGCUCACACUGGGCUCUCCUUGUGAUGUUGUCCACGGGGUGGCAUUCCUCAAUGACCUCAGUGGAUCCUCCAGCUGCGGCUUCCGUGGAAGUGACACUACUUCGAUGCUGAGUCGGGCUUACAUCAACAUGUGGCCCUGAUGCUGCAGCAGCUGCUUGUUGACUGGCUUUUUUUCUCAGAGCUAGGGCCACACACUCAUCUAUUAUUUCCUUGAUUCUUGCCUCUAAUGUUGCUACUUGUUGUUGCAACUCUCGCAGCUGUCGUGCUUGGUCGGCCUUGCUUCUCUGGCGAUUUCUAUAUGAUUCAAUGUGCUCACGAAAGGCAAACUUCCACGGAAUGACUCCUUUGCCUUGGCAUCGUCCAGGGUGUUCAUGAUUUCCAAGUACCAUUGUUAGCUCAUCCCUCUAUUGAUCAGGCAUAAAGGAUCCAUCGACUAUUUUUUUCACUAGUUCAUCAAGUCUAGUAGCCGCUUCUCUUAUUUGAUCAUUGAAGACAAUUGAACCAUCUUCGGGAUUAAGGCUGCCGCCAUGACCAUAAAACCAAUUCUUUGAUCACUCAGGCCAUUCGAGAGCAUAUGGUACUAUUCCCCUGGUAAUUAGGCCAUCUUCCAUCCUUUGCCAUUUCACGGCCGCAGAUUUGUAACCUCCUAUCCCAAGAUGAUGGAAGUAUUUCUUCUGUUGGGCAUUGUCGGUGUUGGUAUGAGUUGAUGACUGACUCUUGCUCGUCUCCUUGAACUGUACAAAGGAAUCCCAGUGAUCCCUUAUCUUCGUGUGCUUACUAAAAUCAGGUUCAACCCCCUUCUCUAUGUAGUCUUUGGUCAUGGUUUUCUUGUAAGUAUGAAACGCAAUUGCACCCUUCUUCAAGCCCCAUCCUUUCACUUUGCCUUCAUCAACAUUUUUUAAUGUGAAGUUUUCUUUUACUUGUUCCCAUAACAUAGCCUCCUCUCGGUCAGGGACGUAGAGGAGCGGGUCUGUGCCAUCCGGGACGCACUCAGGUUUUUUCAAAUUCUGAAAGCUAAUUGGGAUGUUAUCUUUGACAAGGAACCCUAUAUGAUUCACCAACUUCGUCUUAGCUUUGGCAAGAGCAAUCAGUUCACCAUCUUCAGCAAUUUCUGGUGAUGAUGAUAUGGCCCGCGGCUUUCUUGUUCUUGCCUCAUUUCUUUUGAGACCUUUUGCUUGAUCCAGAUGGUUGAAAAACGAAAUUGAAAUGUUGCGUGAUGAUGUUUAUUUUGAUUUUGAUAAGAUGGUAAUUGAAAUAAUGUUUACAUAUAAUACUUUCUAUAUUGCGCCAAUUGGUUGCUCCACAUUGCCUCCCUCGACAACUGGUUGCUCCUCGAUGCCAUCACCAGCCAGGUUGAGGUACAUGUCAGUCUGGCUGUGUGAUCGAUCUCUUCAUUUGCUUGAGGGGUGCCUUGAACAAUCAUCUCAUAUAGGAGCUCAUCGUCUGAUCGUGCCACUGUAACUAGUAUAAUAUAAAAGAAUUAAACACUUAUAAUAAGAAAGACUAAUAUGUAACAUGGCAUGUCAUACAAUUUACAAUUAGUAAGUUUUUAUAACAAUUUACAAUUAAACACUUAUACAAAAAAAAUAAUUGCUUAUAAAAAAGAAAUAAGAAAAGAAUUGACAACAAAAAAUAAUGAAACACUGCUAGGAAAUGACAACAAAAAUAGAAUGAAACAAUAAUGACGUCUAUUAUACAACAUUUAUAGAUAAUUUCCACCACUUACGGAGGCAACAGGGCUGAAGCGGGGCAUGCGGCAUCGGAGAGGACGAGGGCCGGGGCGGUGUGGCGUCGGAGAGGACGAAGGCAAUAGGGGCCAGGGUGGCAUGGCAUCGGAGAGGAGGUGGUGGAGGCGACGGCGUCGGAGGGGAAGCAUUGGUCGGGGUCGGGACAGACGAGGGCGGCCAGCAUUGGGGGAGACGAGGGUGUGCGCGGCGUUGGAGGCGACAGGGUUGGGGCGGUGAGGCAUCGGAGAGGAUGUGGGUGGCGCCGAAGUCAACGAGGCGGUGGCGAAUCACGCGGAGGAAGACGAAGCGAGUGAAAAUGGCUAAGUGUUGGCUAAGGCUAGCACUGAGCGGCCUAUAACCCCCCUUCUAGUACCGGUUCCAAACUACACCCGGUACUAGAGCCCCUCUAGUACCGGUUGUUGUUAACAACAAGUACUAGAGGGUCUCCACGCAUGGGAAAUGAAAAUGCCCCUCUAGUACAAGUUAUUGUUAAGCACGGGUACUAGAGGGGUUGCACAACCCUGUUUUCAUUUUCCCUUUCUUUUACAAUUGCUAUUAUAUUAAUUUAUUGCCUAGUAAAUUAAAUAACAUUCAAAAAAAUUGUAACAAUAAUUUGGUAGCUUCAUGUUUAUUAGAUAUACACUAUAAAAAUGUCAGAUGCGGUCAAAUAUCAAGCACGGUAAAGUUAUUAAUUUUAACUUAAAAUUCGAAAAAAUAGAUUUUUUGACCAUGCAAAAAUUUAGAAGAAUAGUGCCUCUAGUGUUCUUAACAUGUUUACCAUGACUUAAUCAUGUUUUUGUUUAAUUGUACAUAAAUUUAUUGUUUAAUAUUUAAUGAUGCUUUAAAAAAUAGAAAUAUUUAAUAUUUUAACCAUGCAAAAAAUAGUUAAACAAUAUUUUAGCUAGACAAGAAAGUUAAACAAGACAUGAGAAUUGUAUUUGGAAAAACAAGAUCUAACCAUUCAUAAUUACAUUAAUGUCGUUGUUGGUAACAAAAAACACAACAUAAUUGUUCGAAUACAUUACGCAUCAUCAUCAAAUGGAACGUUAAUAACCCUCCUCUUGACGAACGUCCCUUGGUUGUGAUCGCGGCGUAUGUAUGCAGCGUCCUCUUUGGCUAAUAAGAUGCUUGUCCAACCUCAACUGAAAAUGGAGGAAGAUCAUCAAACUGAUCAUAAUCUUCUAAAAUGUCAGUCUUGUCCUCAACUCCAACGAUUUUUCUUUUUCCUAGAAGAAGAAUGUGGUGCUUUGGCUUUUCAUUUGACCUAUUUGCACCCUUCCUUAUUGGUUUGCUUGCCAUGUCCUUCACAUAGAAAACUUGAGUCAUGUCAUUGGCUAGGACAAACAGUUUGUCUAUGUAUCCAAUCUUGUUGAGGUCAACUAUUGUCAUUCCAUAGUUGUCUGUCUUUACGCCUCCUCUAGUAAGUUUCACCCAUUGGCACCGAAAUAGAGGGAUUUUCAAAGGUCCAUAGUCGAGUUCCUAUAUCUCCUCAAUGACACCAUAGUAUCUGUCUUUUUUUCCACUGCUGUCUAUUGCAUCAAUAUGGACACCGCUAUUUUGAUUUGUGCUCUUUUAGUCUUGGGCUCUGGUGUAAAAUAUGUACCCAUUUAUCUCGUAUCCUUGGAAUGUCAAUACUGACAUAGAUGGACCCCUAGCAAACCAUGCUAGUUGUUCUUCAAUGGUGUCAUCACCCAUCAGUUUACGCCGCAACCAAGUGCCAAAAGUUUGAAUGUGAUGACAUGUAAUCCAAGCCUCAGUCUUCCCUUGGUUUGAGGACCGUACAUGUGCCAUGUGCUCCUCCAUGUAUGGGGUGACCAGGGAUGAUUGCUUCAGGACCAUGAAGUGUGCUUUACGUAAUGUCUCCUCAUCGAUGUCCAUCUGAGCCUUCCUCCCUAGUGUGCCCUUUCCCUUUAUUCUCCCUUCAUAGCGUGAUACAGGGACUCCAAUUGAACUCAGGUCAUCCAUAAAGUCAACACAAAACUCAAUUACCUCCUCUAUUCCAUAUCCCUUUGCGAUGCUUCCUUCCAGAUGGACACGAUUAUGAACAUACUUCUUCAGAAUUGCCAUAAACCUCUCGAAAGGGAACAUGUUGUGUAGAAAUGCAGGAACGAGGACAAAAAUCUCUUCAACAAGGUAGACUAGAAGGUGGGUCAUGAUAUUAAGAAGGAAGCUGGAAAGUCCAUCUCAAAGCUGACAAGGCAUUGCACCACGUCCUUCCACAGCUUUAGUAGAUUGUCUGGAUAUAUUGCCUUCAUUGAAAUUAUGUUGAGGAAUGCACAAGGCUUCAUGAUCGGCAUUCUCACAUUCUCUCAAAGAAUACCCCUCAGUGCAACAGGCAGCAAUUGUGUCAUGUGGACAUGGUAGUCAUGGGCCUUUAGAUUUAUGAAUUUCUUCUAUUUCACAUUUAUUAAUGCCUUUAUAUUCGAGGAGUAGCCCGAUGGGAUCUUGAUACUAUUCAAGCACUUAAACAUGCUUUCCUUCUCUUCCUUGGUAGGAGUGUAACUGGCAGGAUGCAAGUAAUGCCUAUUAUCUCACUUUUCCAGAUGUAGGGCAUCUCGUUGAUUCAUAUGUUUCAGGUCCCGACGUGCUUCAAGUGUAUCCUUUGCCAUUCCAUAUACACCCAGAAAGCCAAGCAUGUUCACGCAGAGAUUUUUUAUCAUGUGCAUCACAUCAAUUGCAUUACGGACCAUAAGGACUUCUCAAUAAGGUAGCUCCCAAAAUAUAGACUUCUUCUUCAACAUGGGUGCAUGUCCAUCCUUGUCGUUUGGAAUAGGUUGACUACCAGAGCCCUGGCCAAAGACUACCCUCACAUCUUUUAUCAUAGAAAAUACAUGUUUACCAUUACGGUGAAGGGGCUUAGUACCUUCUUUCUUCCUUCUCUUCAAAAUAUUUCCCUUUCUUUCUUAGAGCGUGCUUAUCAAGAAGAAAUCGACGAUGGUCCGUAUACACAACCUCUUGUAGUGCUUCAAAUACAUGCUGUAAGUAUCAUCUAAACAGUGCGUGCAGGCUCGAAAUCCCUUGUUUGACUGUCUAGACAGAUUACCAAGUGCUGGCCAAUCAUUGAUGGUUACGAACAACAAUGCUCGUAGAUUAAAUAUAUCCUUUUUAUCCUCAUCCCACACACGUACACCUUAUUCCUUCUAACAGUAGAACUUCAUCAACCAACGGUCUUAGAUAAACACCAAUGUUGUUGCCAUGUUAUUUUGGGCCUUGGAUAAUUAUCAGCAUCAUAAUGAACUUCCGCUUCAUUCACAGCCAUGGCAGAAGGUUGAACAUACAUAAGGUCACAUGCCAAGUGCUAUGACCACUACUAAACUCUCCGAAUGGAUUGAAUCCAUUCAUACUUAAACCAAACUGUAUGUUCCUUGCAUCCUUUUCAAACUCAGGAAAUAGACUAUCAACUGUUCUCCAAUGGGACCCAUCAGCCGGGUGUCUGAUUAUUUCAUCUUGCUUACGUUCUUCUUUGUGCCAACACAACAACUUUGCAUGUGCCUUGAUCCUGAACAAGCGCUUCAUUCGUGGUAUUAUAGGAAAAUACCACAUUACCUUUGCAGGAACUUUCUUCUUGAUGGUCUCCAUCUCAACAUCACCGGGGUCAUCUUGCCUAAUCUUAUAACGCAGCGCUUUGCACACAGGACAAGCCUCCAUUUUCUCGUAGUCCUUGCCCUGAUAGAGGAUACAGUCAUUAGGACAUGCAUGUAUCUUUUGUACCUCCAAACCAUAGGGCAUACAACCUUUUUUGCUUCGUACGUUGAGGACGGCAAUUCAUUCCCCUUGGGAAGCAUAUUCUUUAUGAUUUUCAUUAACUCAUCAAAACCCUUGUCAGAAACUCCAUUUAUUGCCUUCCAUUGCAACAUUUCCAGUGUGGUACCCAAGUUUUUGUGCCCUAUUUGCAAUCUGGGUACAACAAUUUCUUAUGAUCAUCUAACAUACCCUCGAACAGUUUUGACUCCUUCACAUUCUCACAGUCUUACUUUGCAUCUCACAACACCUGACAUAGCUCAUCGAGAGGACCUUCUGCCUUGCCCAUCUCUUCUUAUGCCUCGCCCAUUGGAGCAUCUGCAAAGGCACUUACUUGAUAGUCUUCAUCAUCCAUCAUAACUCCUCUUUCCCCGUGCUUGAUCCAAACCAAAUAGUUUGCCAUGAAUCCAGAACUAUAUAUGUGGGCGUAAAUAGUCUUGCUAGAUGAAUAAUCCUUCUCCUUUUUGCAAUUUCUGCAUGGACAAGAAAUAAAACCGGACGGCGGUUUGUUGGAUUCUGCCUGAGCAAGAAAACCACGCAACUCAUUAAUGUAUUCCAUGGAACGUUUGUCUGCAUUGUACAUCCAUUGCGGAGCCAUCUACAAAAUAUUACACAUGGAUUGGUUUUUGAACUAUAAGUAAAUGAAUUGAAAUGCAUAAUCUAAUUUUUCUAAGUAUAUACACAUGGAUUGAUUUUUGAAGUUUACUAUCCAUAUACCAACGAAGGAUGAAGUUCCUAACCUUUACAACACUUGAAUGAUUGCAAUCCCCAUGAAAUGGUCACAAAUCCGGUAGCACCUCCCCUAUGGUGCUAUGGAUAGGGUGAAGCUUGAGCUGUGGAAAUUGUAGUAAAAAUGUUGAAUAGCUAGAGAAUAUAGAAAAAUUCUUGAAUUAGCGAGAAAUGAACAUUAUUUCCUACAAAUUGAUAACAUAACAUAUAAAUGAAAAAUUUCUCCAUUGUAGCUUAUUCUAAAAAUGUGUAAUUACGUACCUCUAUUUGAAAAAAGUACUAAACUAUGAAAUUAUUCCUCUAACCUCAUAUCAAUUUCUUUGACUAGUACAAAUCAUGACAUCCAAAAAUUUGUAGCUUAUUCUACAAAUCACAAAUAUGAGCUCUAAAUAGCACAUACAUAUAAAUGAAAAAUUUCCCCAUUGUACCUUAUUCUAAAAAUCACAAAAUACUCUAGCUCUUAAGCAUAAAACUUAGUAUACUAACCAUGUAUCAAGAGAGGAUGAAAUUUAGAACACUUGAAUGAGUGAAAUCCCCUAAAUAACACAUUCAGAUAAAUGAAAAAUUUCCCAUUGUACCUUUUUCUAAAAAUCACAAAUUACUCUAGCUCUAAAGCAUAAAACUUAGUAUACUAACCAUAUAUCAAGGGAGGAUGAAAUUUCUAACCUCUAGGACACUUGAAUGAGUGAAAUCCCCAAGAAAUGAUCACAAAUCCGGCAAAACCUCCCCCUAUGGCACCAUGGACUGGGUGAAGCUCGAGCUAGAGGAUCUAGCUCGGGCUGGAGGAAGAAGGAGGGUAUUUAUAGAAAGAAAAUUACUACCGGUUGGAGUCACCAACCGGUACUAAAGGGGUGGUACCAGUUGGUACCUUGAACCGGUACUAGAGGGGGGUGCCACACUAGUACCGGUUAGUGGAAGCAACCGGUACUGGAGGGUGCCUCGUUUAGUACCCGUUGAUGCAAACAACCAGUAUUAGAGGGUGUGUGCUCACCCUUUAAUACCGGUUGUUGUCCCCAACCGUUACUCAAUGGGUCUUGGUGGCACGCUCCAGGCAGUAUCCUUUGGAACCGGUACUAAUGCUAAUAUUAGUACCGGUUCCAAAUGCAACCAGUACUAAGACUAGGGAUGAGAGGUCAGUUUUCUAGUAGUGUUAGCCUUGCAGUAAGGGUUUUAUUUGGUUAAUAAAAGCAAUAUGACAGAAGUUCUGGUGAUGAAGUUGAGGAGGUUGUAAAUCUCGGAUAUGUUGGUGUGGGGAAUUUAAGCAGGAUGGAAAGAGUGGUAUGUUGAUUUGAUGGUUUUGAUUUGGUUCUCUGGGUUCGUGCUAGAUUCUUUCCUCAGAUUCUAAGGACCGGUUCUUGAAGCAUGUAAUCCAGCUUAAGCGCGAAGCCAUGAGGGCUACAUGGUUCUAGACUUGGCCAAUUAAUUAGCGACCCAUUCCUAAUGCAUGGUGGCGGUUUGAGUGGCACAAGAGGGGGCUUCUGCAGUGGAGGGAACCCUUAGUGCAUGUUGAAGGGAUGAGAGUACGUUCUAAUGACGUUUAACACUUAUGUAAUAACAUUGCUAUGAUAUUCACUCUUGUAAAUGUCACAUAUAUAUGAAUAAACUGAUCUUAGCAUAGCAUACAUACGAUGUGCAUUAGAUUUUGUUUAUAAAAUCGGGUGCGACAAUCCUGAUCCCCGGUGCCAUCACCAAGGAUGUAAUAGCCAACAGGUUGCGCGUGCGGUUUCGGCAUUUGCUAACGAACUAGCCGGCCAGCAGUACGGAGGAGAAGGACGUGACGCGACUUCUCCCCGACAACGCGCUUUGCGGCCGUGCUCACCUGCCUCGCGCAGCAGCCUUGCUGCAUGCCAUUGUGUCUGCAGGGCGUGGCGCCACCGUGGAUGCCCAUGCGGGCAUCCUCCUGCUUUCGCCCGGUGGUGUCUAACUCAGCAUGUCAUGCGGGUUCCCACCGCUCUUCUGCCGCCAUCCCUCGACGGGGCUAGCAGCUUCGAUCAGUGUCAACCUCGACUAUUUGGCCAUCGCAUCCAAUGAUGACGUGAGCUCUUUUGGGUUCAUCCAAAAUCACUGCAAUGGCCUCACCUUGUUUCGCGAGAAGCCUCUAAGGCCGCAUAACUGUGCAUCUGCCGGAGAUCAUCUAGCCCACAGCUUGUUCAACAAAAUGCCCCACCGAGAGACCAUGGGGACAUAGAGAAAGAUGAAGGGAUGAGAGAGGAAGUGUCCAGUCAGGGUGCCACACCUAAGCGCUAAACGCCCACAUGGAGGCCUAUGGAACUAGAUGACACAACUUAACAUCUUUAUGGAAUUAAAAAUGUAUUUCUGGAGUUGAUGGAUGUAAGUGACAUACCCUUACAAGUUGAUGGACCUCUGGUACAUUUUUACUGUAAGCUUCUAUUUAGGUUGUAUUAUGUCAACUGGCAUUGGUCAUGCAUUCUCUCAAAACAAGCAACAAAAUAACAUAUAAAUAUCAAAUUUAUAUUUCAUCACCAUAAUUGGUGUGUUCAUUAUUGAAUUAAAUUGCUAUUAGAUAUACAACCUACUCCCUCUGUUCCACAAAGACUGUUCAUUUAGAAAAUUUUAGACAAGAUAGUAGCAAUACUAAAAAUCCAAAGUACCCCUAAUAACCCUUCUUAAUUGGAUGGAUUACCAAGUAGAAUUAAUUAUGCAUGCACGCUUGCAGUAAUUGUCGGACCUAUUAGCGUUUUUUAUUUAGCGAGUCUGACUCAGGCAUCGAUGGUGGGAGUAAAUGAUCGAUUCGUUAACCGGACCAGAAGUUAUUGGAUAGUGUGAAAGUUAUAUGAACACGUUUUGUGGAAUAAGUUUUGAAGGUCUUGGUGGGAUGGAGGAAAUAUCAAUAGAGAAGUCAUUGUACAAGUUCUAUGUUUUGUUGUAUGUGCAUGGUUUGGUGAAACUGUUGUUAAUCAGAACUAAUAUCUUAGAUGAAUCCGACGCCAUUCACUACGAUAGCGAAACGGAAGGACAGAGUUGCUGGUUGGUGGACUGACAAUCAAUUGAUGAUGUGUGAUUUCUGUCAACGCUUCGAUCUUUCAAGAAUCUUGUGCAGACGCUCAUUUUUUGCAGCCACAACGAGGGAAGUUAGCUACCACAAAAUAUAAAUCAUAUGGUUUUCCUUGGUAAGCUGAACAGAUCUGAAGGAGCAUGUUACUGAGGGGCUGUUUGGAUACGAGGUGCUAAACUUUAACAGUGUCACAUCGGAUGUUCGGAUGCUAAUUAGGAGGACUAAACAUGAGCUAAUUAUAAAACUAAUUGCAGAACCUUGUGCUAAUUCACGAGAUGAAUCUAUUAAGCCUAAUUAAUCCAUCAUUAGCACAUGGUUACUGUAGCACCAUAUUGUCAAAUCAUGGAUUAAUUAGGCUUAAUAGAUUCGUCUCGCGAAUUAUACUCCACCUGUGCAAUUAGUUUUGUAAUUAGCUUAUGUUUAGUACUUCUAAUUAGCAUCCAAAUAUCCGAUGUGACAGGUGUUAAACUUCAAUAAGGUGUUCCCAAACACCCCCUAUCCCGCAAUGUUGAAUUGGCCUGCACGCGCCAGCACGCUCCGUGGCGCGCGAUGGGAGUAGCUGGGCCCAGUGGCCACGUGGCUGCUGCUGUCCGCUUUUUCUCUUUUUCUUUUUUUUUCUUUUCAAUUAUUUUUUCAAACGCAAUUUGUACUAAGCAAAUAUUGUUAUGUGUAUAAAUUAUAUGCAUAAGUUGCUUAAUAAUAUUUUUUGUAAAAGUUACAAAUAACGUUAUGUGUAUAAGUUGUAUAUGAUGACACUGCACCACAAAUUUUAUCAUAUAACUUGUUGUUAGGGAAUAUUACGUACAAAUCGUGUGUAUAAGUUAUAAAUUACCAAAAAUGAAAGUCGAUGUUGUUCUUUUAAAAGUAGUACAUAAAAGUUGUACACAUAAGUUCUGCAUGCUAUCCAAGUUGUGCUAAAAAAAUCUCUUGUAAAAAAUUGUAGUACAAAGUUAUAGGUCAAAAUUACGUGUAUAAGUCAUCGUAUUCCAAAAAUAAAAAGUUGCAGGAUUUAAAUUUUUCCAAAAAUGGAAAGUUCAGGAAGGUGGGGGUUGUCGGGAUUCAAUGGCCAGAAGCUAUCCCAGCGCGCGUGCUGGUUAGACAGCUCCAUGACUAACCCCCUCUCAUACGCCUCCCCUCGUCUCUGCACUACGGAUUAUCUGCAAUAGUAACCGGAGUUUCUUUUCUGACCAUUGAUUUUGGAUAUUAAACUUGUUCUUUGGGGGUCCUUGCUGCUGAUUGGUUCAUAGUGGUUUAUUGUGACCUGUAGAAACAAUUGUAAUUGUUUCUACAGGUUUUUGUCUAUUCGCAACUCCUCCAUCCUGAGAUACAAGAUAUUUUGGUUUGUCCUGAGUCAAAUUGGUUUAAGUUUUACCAAGUUUGUAGAAAAGAGCAGUAAUAUUUAGGAUGUCAAAUGAGUAUCAUUAGAUCUAUUAUGAAGUAUAUUUUCAUAAUUUUCUUAUUUAUGUGUUAGGUAUUAAUACUAUUCGGUAUAAAUUUGGUUAAAUGACUUUGGACAAUGUACGAAGAUUAAAUUCAGAGCCAGUUGAAAUCCGUGAGCAUUCUGCAGAUACUAUGGCAAGGAGGAUAUUAACAAUUCAGAGCCAGUUGAAAAGCAGUAUAUGUACCAGGCACAUAUAAAUAUUGUUGGGGAUGGCUCAAAAAGACAGUCACCCUUGAGCUCUUUCAGGUCAGCGCCUUUGACACAGCUAUGCACGAUACUAAACCUCGGGUGGAGCUUCCUAACCUCGAACGGAAAACAUGAUACGAAGAAGCAGCAUUGGCCUCAAGGCACUGAGUUUCGGCCCGAAGCCAGUAUACAUUUUCCGUUCUUUAAACUGAAUGAUUCUGACCUAGAGCACUCGAAGCUAACCACGAGUACUGAGUUGUGUGUUAUCUUGUGCAGGAUCACAUUUUCGAUCAGGGAGCAAAAGUGCAAGGUUGCACGUUUCUCGAUCGCGAGGCUAAGGCGAUCUGGGCUCCCGAAGCUAGGCUGACUUCGAGUGUGAAGUCUUGACUCUAGACGCGAGGUUGAGAAGUGUGGAAGCGUUGAAACAGUCAAAACGGAAUUCACGGAGCUACGUGAGAGUGUGAUUCCCGGGGCUGUUGGACGGUGCGAGAAGCGUGACCUUCAAAAAACCAACGUGUAAAGCAUAUUCCUAAAAUGUAGUGUUAGGUAGGGGUAAAUAUGUAAUGUAAAGUAUCCCUCGAGAUACUAUAAUAUAAAAGGGGAGCCCUAACCGUUGUUAAUUUUAUGCUCAUUCUCAUCUAAAGUAAGAGUAUAAGUGUUCCUCACACCCUGUUGUGUCUAGAUCCGAGCGAGGUUAAAGACCCAACAAAUAUAUAAUUCCUUAAUUACUCAUGAUCAAUCUAACAACGCCAAUCUUUUCAAUCUGCCGACCACCAAAUCAAUAAGUUUGACCAGCGAAAAUUCUAUUGAAUCCGUGUUAGGGUUUUUCGCUUAAACUUCAUUUUCUUUAUAAAAUCAGACCAAUGAUAAACUAUACCUAUUGGGCAACUUCCGACAGAAGGCACACGCACGGGAUGCGUAUGCUACCAGUAGGUUACACUGGUAGAAAACUCGGUAUUAGUCUUGGUUGGUAGGGUGAAAAUAUUCCGCAAAUCAAUCUAGGAUAACGUAAUCGAGAUAAAAAGGGGUGCCUUUUGUCCCGGGUCGCUAAACCGGAACAAAAGACAAUCGGGACUAAAGGGGUGCCACGCCGGGGGAUCCCCACACGCGCAAGUCACAAGUCACAAGUCACGCGAAAUAUGCGCGUGCGCGGUCCGUGGGAUUCAAACCCACGACCUCAAGCCUCGCGCGUAGCUUCCUUACCAUCCCACCUACACACCACAUCUAACUAUAUAGGGGAUGCAAUCCUUUGUACUAAAUCUUGGGAGACCCUUUUAUCUCGGUUUAUAAUACCAACCGGGAUAGAAGACCAUUAUCCCAGUUGGUUUACAAACCGAGAUAAAAAGUUUUGAGAGAUUUAGUUCUUUUUUAGCCACCCGUGGGGACUCUUUUAUCCCAGUUUGAAACGCCAACCGGAAUUAAAAACCCCCUUUUAUCCCAGUUGGUAUUACAAAUCGGGAUAAAAAGGAUCUAGGACUUUAAUUCUUUUUUAGCCAUCUAUGGGGGACCCUUUUAUCUUGAUUGGUGUUUCCAACAGGGAUAAAAGACCUCAUUCUAUCCCGGUUGGUGUUGUGAGCUUUAGCUCCAGGUGGUAACACCAACCGGGAUUAAAAUGGUGACCUUUAGUCCGGUUGGUCUUACCAUCCGGGACUAAAAGAUCCCUCAUGGGUAGCUGAUUUUUUUCACCCGAGACUAAAGGGUCCCUCACAAGUGGCUGAUUUUUGACCCGGGACUAAAGGGGGGGUCUUUAGUCCCGAUUGAUAUUUGACCCGUGACUAAAACACCUUUUUAUCCCGGACCAACUUUAAAUUGGGAUAAAAGGAGGUGCAUGGAAAGUAAGCUCUCUACCAGUGUUACCACGCCACAGCCGUUUGACGGUUUGAGAUCUUAUAUUCUACUAUCUCUACCAGUGUUACCACGCCACAGCCGUUUGACGGUUUGAGAUCUUAUAUUCUACUAUGUAAUCUCUACGACUAAGAUACAUCUAGUCGUACCUCUAUUAUUGAACUUUUUAUUUGCAAACAUAUAUAGUAGAGCAGUUGUUUAAUUAUGAGUCUUUCUGAACCACAGUUCAUGCCCUUAAAUGGCGUAGAUCAGAUCCCACAUCUUGACGAAAUCCUAGAUGCCUUACUUUUAUAAUAUGUACAACAUCGACAUCAAGAAAACAGGCACGGCUAGCUGUUCCUUGCUACUGGGACAAUAUUGGUGGCAUAUUACUACAUGCUCACGUGAUCGAAGCUGUGCAGGACCAAUACAAAGGCGGGAAGAAAGACAUGAAGGAAGCAAAUCAUACAAGACUUGGCCCCCAUCUGUGUCAACCACUCACGGAAAACUGACCUUUAGUCCCAGUUGAUAGGUAUCAAAGAUUCCGAAAAUCCAUCCGGAAUUAAAUUUUCGAGACAAAAGCGGGCACCUAGGACUAAAGAUCACCUUUAGUCCUGGUUGGUAACACCAACUGGGACUAAAAUGUUUCGAAAAAAAUUACAAAAAACACACCACGCCCCAUGCUCGCCGACCGCUUGCGCAUGCCACCCUGCCGCCGCCCGCACGCGGCCGCGGCGGCCUCCGCCAGCCUCCACCCGCCGCCGCCGCACACCUCCGUCCACCCCGCCCUCACCCACCUCCACCCCACCGCCGCAUGCCUCCGUUCCACCUUGCGCUGCCGGGCCUGCCCGCUCUGCUCCACAACUGCCGGCUAGCACGCCACCGCCAGCCUUCACCCUGCUACCGCUCCUCACUACUAGUGAGGGGCGAGCAGAGGGGGAGGGGCAGGGGCGCCUGUGCGAGAGAGGAGGAGAGGAGGAGGCGCCUAUGCCGGUGGAGAAGGAAAGGAGAGAGAUAAGGAAAAGGAGAGAGAGGAGAAGAUAUUAAUGUGGAGAGAGGGGGGCGUAGGGAAGGUGUUUGGUCCCGGUUGGAGCCACUAACUAGGACUAAAGCCCGCUUUGUCCCAGUAGGGGGUGCUUUUGUCCCGAUUGGAAUUUCUAACCGGGACAAGGGGGGGACUAAAGGGGGACUUUAGUCCCAGUUGGUAUUUACAAUCAGGACAAAAGCUCCCACUAGCGGUGACUUUCGGUGGCACAUUUUUGAUCCGGAACUAAAGCCACUUUGGUCACGGAUCCAAUAUUAACUAGGGCAAAAAGAGAUUGGAUGGAAGCUCAGUUUUCUACUUAGGCCCUGUUUGUAUACGCUUUUCUGGAUCAUAAGCCUGCUGUCUGGAGAAUCUUCUGUCUGAAUAAGCUGGGUGUUUGGCAAUCCUAAUUAUUAUGUGUCGAUUGUCUGUCCUGACCGAUAAAAUGACCAAAAUGCCCCUGAGGCUGAUAAUAGCUCAUUUUUAUUGUGAAUACAAGGAGAAGAUAAUUCUAAUGUCAUCCACUUAUUUUAGGCUGCUAAGCUCAUUUUAGGUUAUUAGAAUUCUAAUGUCAUACACUUAUUUUUUCUUUUCCUUUAUUUUUUUUUCAGAUUUAUCUUCUUCCUGCUUGUUCGCAAACAGGCGGCAUGGGACGGUCGCAGAGGGGCCUGCCAGGGCUGCGGGACCUCCCAGCCGUGGAGGGGGUCGGCAGGAGCAGUGACGGUGUGGGUGGCCGCGGAGGGGGCCGGCAGGAGUGCCGACAGCUAGCGGGAGCUGCGGCGGCGUGGCCAGUCUUCUUGGGGAAGAUGGCCGGUAGGUGGCCGGUGGAGGACAGAGCCGCCCGUCGGAGGGAAGGGAGCCAGUGGAGGGCGGCCGGCGGCGGAUGGGGCAGCGGAUGGAGCCGGCGGUGGACGGUGGGCAGCGGCGAAUGGGGCAGCGGAUGGAGUCGGCGGCGGAUGGUGGGUAGCGGCGGACGGGGCAGCGGAUGGAGCCGGCGGCAGAUGGGGCCGACUGGCCGCGGACAAAGCCGUUGGCGGACGGGGCCGGCAGUGGAUGCGGUAUCAAGAUGGCGCAGGGGUGAGGGGGAUGCGGGAAAAUCGGCUCACUUUCUCAAGAAGCGCCUCCGAGGCUGCUUAGGGGAAAAGCGGAGGGCUAGUUGUAUUCUGGAUUGUGGGAGAAGCGGCUUAUGUGAUAAGCGAAAAAUAAACAAACCAUUUGAGUGGGUUUAUGGCUUAUUUCCACUGAUAAGCAGGAAAUAAGCGAAUACAAACAGGACCUUAGUGUACUAAUUAUCAUGAAUCCAAGAUGGCCUAAGAGAUGAUGAUGAGGACGAUGCGAGACUCUCCAAUUGGUGGACCUAGGUGGCUCAGGUGGGCCAUGGUGGGCCAUGGCAUACACCAAAUUCAGCCCACCUACCCUACGAGUAAGCUCGCACACAGCCUGCCUAGCAAUGCGCACGAGAGCAAUCGAUGCGAGCACCGGCGGUGCUGCGAGUGCACGGCAAUACGUUGAGGUGAACACGCGUGGGCGCACCGCUGUCAUGCUCGACUAUCGCGGGCACUCCGCCGAGGCGAACAUAUAGGGCUUGUUUCUUUUCUUGCAACGUCAAUGGUGGGUAAUUUACAAAUACAUGCAUAAGAGUACGCUGGUUCAUUUUUUGUCUUAAUGGUGGUGUGCAGUUUUGAUUUUGUUUUUGUCUCUACCUAAUUGUUUAGUUUUUAGACAGUAAGUUUGCCAAAUACUAAGAUAGUUGACAAAAAAUCAUACGAAGUACAAACAUGUCGUUUAAGAUAACCAGUCCUUUAUUAUUUUCAUUCAAAAUAUAUAUCCGCUUUGUUCUGGUGAGGGACAGGGUGGGGGUGAAUUUUCCAUGCAAAGAAUGUUACCCCAGCUAUAAAAAAACGUAUGUCAUUUUUGCUGUAUACUAAGUCAAACUCCUUUAAUUUCAACCAUGUUUAUAGAGAAAUGUAUUAACUUAUACAAUACCAAAUAAAAACAUCACAAUACAUAUAUUCAUGGAGCAUUUAGGGAAACUAAUUUAUGUUGUAGAUGUUUGUACAGUUUCCUAUAAACUUAGUCAAACUUUGAAGAAUUUUACUUAUGACAAAGCUAGUAACAUCUAUAUUUUGGAAUGGAUAGUAGUAAUCAUCUUCCACAAUGUCAAUAUAAAUUUUGGGAUUUUGUUUUAAAAAAAGAGAAAACAAGGCAACAAUAAGAAUGGUUGGCCUGAUGGGAGUUCUAAAUUAGCAAACAAAUGUAUUUAGAAUCUUGAUUUUUUUAUGUGGAAAAAAUGUGGGAAUAACCACCAACUUUGAUUGUUAUAAAGAAAAAUAGUUAUGUACAACAGUUAAAUAGGACAAGAGAAUGUCAGAUUACAUGGACGAGAAGGUCUUUAAAGGCCUAAUCCAUUGGGCCAUAUCCUUGUGUCCCCUCAUCUUCCUUGUUUCCAUUGGGCCAUAUCCUUGUGUCCCCUCAUCUUCCUUGUUUCCAUAAUUAAGUGUUAAUUAUAUAAGUGUCAAUUAUCUAGUUUAGGAUGGCUGAGAGGACCUGAGGAAGAUGAGAGGGGACACAAGGAUGAAGGUCAUGGAAGCGUAUGGACCAAGAUAUAGCUUUCUCAUCUUCACCUUUUCUCACUCCUGUGUAUUGUGCAGCUACACCUCUGCGUCAAUCUAGGAGGGCCUCGACACACAUUCUUAUAUUUUUGGUUGCCCUCAAAGUCUCCCACUAUCAGUAAACAGAAUUUCUCUGAUGGUGAAGACACGACAGGAAAAUUGAUUCUGUUGAUGAACUCAUAGGAAAAUCCGACAGGUGUAGCUUGACAGGUAAGAUGGAAUUUGCAUGUCGCUUCAUCGACAGAAAUAUAGUUCCCCUUUUGAUUUCUACUGAUUGUAAAAUUGGUGCUCUUCUAGUCUUAAUAUUUUUCCCAGUCAACAGAACCCAACAAAAGAGAAUAUCAUUCGGAAUGUCAGCUCCCAGCCACCCAUAUAAUCUACCGGUUUUCUGCUGACACGGAAAAUUGAAUUGCAAACAGCACUAAGCUGAAUCUAAUUUUAUAAAAAUGCCACAUUUUUCAGUCACACAAAGACCAUUUAAAUUUGUUUCUUGCACACACCGGAGUUGAUUGAAAUGAUUUUAUCAACUUAACCAGAACGUACUUGCACAUUAUAGCAUAUACAAACAUGACAGUCCACAUGUUGAGCUAUGAUAAACUUAGUGCCGUUGUGUGAGCUUGAAUAGGAAAGACAGUCAUUAGUAACAGCCUAAACCCUAGGAUGAUCAUCACUAUCCUAAAGUAGAGCAAACUAAACUAGACAAAAUUGCAAACGGUGAAGAGCUGGAGUCUCCUAGUAGUGCGAGAAACGAUUUGUGCUGGCACGUCGAAAUUAGCAUGCUGUCGGGUGGAAUUGACACCCGCCAGCACAAAGGUGACCGAGGCCACCGGGCCAGUGCUCGCCAGCACAGAUGGCUCUAUGCUGGCGGGCAAUCUAAGCGCCCACCCAUAUACAGCCACGAACAGUUUUUCGCUAGCCAACUUUCCGUUUGAAGCUUGCCCGAGAGGAGCUCGGUAAAAGCUCCAAAAAUACCUAAUUUAGUGGGGAAGGUUUUGCUCUUGUUUUCUUAGGAGGAGGAGGGGGGCUAUAAAAGGUAAGUUUAUGCCAUUCCAACCUUCUUUUCAACUUCUAUCCAUCAUUUCUAGCUUCAUUAUGUUGUCAUCUUGAUCUUGAUCUAGACCUAGAAGAGAAAGGAGGGAAAAGAGAGAAAAUAAUUAGAGAUGGAUUAUUUUUCUAAAUAAAAUUCUAUAAUUCUAUUAUAACCAUUACAAUGCUAUGUUUGUCUUUUUAAUAUAAUAUAGAAUUGAGUUUGAUUAUACUUUUCCUACUUAUUAAUUAUUAGAACCAUAGUUUUAAUUAAUGAGUUUGUUUCAAUUUAAUAUAUAAUUGAGUUUGAUUUUUUUUUCCUUCUACUUAUUCAUUAUUACAUCCAUGAUGUAAUUGAGUUUCAUUUAGGGUAAUAUAGAAUUAGUUUUUAUUAUAUUUCUUCUUACUUAUUAAUUACUGCAUUCAUAAUUUAAUUGAGUUUAUAGGAUUACAACCCAUAGAUCAUUAAAUUAGUUAAUAUAACACAGAAUUGUAUUCAUAGGUUGUUAAAGAUGGAUCAUAGAGGACGCGGAACGUGAUGUUUAUAUAGAGGACAUGUUGCACCACAUUGAACCGGAAGUGUUGCUAGGGAGUGCUAAAGGGUUAGAGAAUUUCAAGACACUCAAGAAGCAGCAAAGGACCAUAUGUAUGAGGGAUGUGGGAAGGAGUGGGAAGUGUUGCAUUUCAUCCUUCAUCUUCUGAUCCUUAAACCUAAAUUCGGCUAGUCAGACAAUAGUUUGAAUGAUCUCCUUACUUUGCUGGGCAAGUUGCUCUCGAAGCCUAACUUUGUGCCAAAAAACACAUAUGAAACAAAGAAGAUUAUCAAUCCAUUGAAGAUGCGUGUGCAAAGAACACACGCGUGUAGGAACCACUACAUAUUUUACUGCGGUGAGUACGAAUAAUUGGAAAAGUGUCCAAAUUGUGAUGCUAGCCGUUACAAAAGUAAUGCCGAUUUCAAUGAGGACAGUGCCAGUUCCUCCAUCGGGAAUAAGAGGAAGAAGGGUGCAAAGAAAAGUGUGGUGCUCAAGUGGAGGACGAGUUCUAUAUGGGUACUGACACGACAACUCAUCGCAGAGUCCCUGCCUUAAUGAUGUGGUACUUGCCGGUGGUGGACCAUCUGGAUCUUUUAUAUUCAAAUCCAAAGACUGCUGAAAUGAUAACUUAGCAUGUUGAUCGCCCAGUAAAGGCUGACAGAAAACUUCAACAUCCUUCCAAUGCUCACUAGUGGAGGACCUUCGAUGCCAAUCAUCUAGAGUAUUUAGAUGAAAAAAGAAAUAUACGGUUCGCAUUGUGUACAGACCGCAUGAAUCCAUUUGGUGAAAGAAACAGCAUGCACAGUACAUGGCCAGUGCUGAUGACCAUAUACAAUCUUCCACCAUGUCUAUGUCACAAGAGAAAGUUCUUUUUGCUAACCAUUCUCAUACAAGUCCCGAGGCAACCUGGCAUCAACAUAGAUAUUUUCCUUGAGCCAUUGAUGCAAGAUAUGCACAAAUACCGCGAGACGAUUGACUUUUUCGAUGGCACCAAUGAGAUUAAUUUUGCUCCAAAACCAGCUACGGUUAAAAUAGUAUUUGAAAUGUAUGAGAAGGUCAAGUUCAAACUCUGCAAGAAGUCAUUAUGUGGUGCUGAUAAUUCAAAAAGGGGAAGGAAGUGGGCUGAAACUACAGACGUCACAUAGGUGCCGUUUAAGAGGAUGUCUAUCUUUUUUAAGUAUUUGCCGUUCUGGAGAGAGCUAGUGGUGCAUCAUGCUAUUGAUGGGAUGCAUCUUUAGAAAAAUGUGUUCGAUAGCACCAUCGGAUUCUUGGGCUUAUCAGGCAAGGCAUAGGGUGGACUAAAAUCACGUAAGGAUCUCAUUGACUUUAAAAUUAGGCCAGAGCUCCACUCGCAAGAACUUUCUCAUGGUAAGCAAUACCUUCCUCCGACUAGCUACAACUUAACACGAGAUGAGAGAUUGUCUAUGUGCAAGUGCUUGCAUGGGUUGAAAGUGCCAACCAGAUUCUCGUCCAGCAUCCGGUCACUAGUCUCAUUGAAGGACAUGACGCUUGCCGUCUAUAACUCUCAUGAUUGCCAUGCGAUGAUCAUAGUUUUUCUCACGAUUGCGAUCUAGGCUAUCAAAUCAGUAUUCAUAAAGAUGGUUAUCACAUGGAUGUGCUACUUCUUCAAUGUGAUUUCGCAGAAAGUGAUUGAUUGUGUCAAGUUGGCUAGGCUUCAGCUAUUUGUGUCAGAAACUCAGGGACAGCUUGAGAUGUGCUUCCCUCCAUCAUUUUUUGAUAUCAUGGAACAUCUCAUGGUCCACAUGGUCCAACAAAUAACUGUACUAGGGCCUAUGUACUUCCAUCAAAUAUGGACAUACAAACGGUUCAUGUCAACUCUCAAUGGAUAGAUGAGAAGCAAGGACUUUCCAGAGGGCAGCAUAAUCAAGAGCUACCAUAGAGAGUGUUGAUUGUUACAUAGAUUAUUAAUACAAAAAAGAUAAGAGAGCUAUUGGUUUACCAGAAUCUCGACACAAGGACAAGUUGUUCGGGAGAGGUACCAUUGGAAUAAAAAGAUUCAUCGACAAGGACAACCAACAAUUAGAGAAAGAGCAUUCAAGCGUUCUACAACAGCUCGCAAUAGUGGAGCUCUUCAUCGAGCAACACCUAAAUGAGGUCUGUGCAAAAAGUAAUGGUUGCUCGGAAGUUUGGAUCAUCAAAGAGCAAAAGCGCCGUUUCCCAUCAUGGUUGAAGGACCAUGAGCAGCUAUUUGAAGGAAAUUCCAUAGACGAAGUAACAAUGACUAGGUUGGCAUCUGGCCCAUCAAGCAAUGUCACCUCAUGGCAAGCAUAUGAAUUUAAUGGAUACACAUUUUAUACCACCACAAAGGACAACAAAAGCGUAAAUAGUGGUAUUCGCAUAGAGGAGAUUGAUACACCAUAACUUACUACGGUUUCAUAAAGGAAAUAUGGGAACUUGAUUACUGAGAGAAUAUUCGGAUCCUUGUCUUUUGGUACUAAUGGGUCAAACACUUGAACGGCAUUACAGAGGCAAUUAUGGGUUGAGAUUUCUAGACCUAACCAAUGUAGGUCACAAAGAUGACCCAUGGGUACUCACUGAGUGUGUCGCACAGGUAUUCUACAUAACCGACCCUAUGAACGAAAAGAAGCAUAUUGUCGUCUCUAGGAAAUAAAGGAUCCUUGGAGUUGAAGGUGUAGUGGACAUUGAGGAUUACAAUCAAUAUGAGGAAUUGGACCUGUUCAAAGACCAUGAACGAAGAAUUAAGCGUGUUGAAGCAAGCAUUGAUAAAUCCAUGAAGCUAUGGUUAUCGUAGUGACUGUGCAUGUUACAUAUUCCAUACUCCAGCUCGCUUCCUUAGAUAUUAAACAUAGUUAAGGUCUCCAAUUGUCCAGCCUAGAACUUCAUCAAAAUAAGUUACAGCACAGAUGAGUGCACGUUCCUUCACUUCACAUGGAUGAUCACAAACACUACUACAAAUCUCGAACAAUGGAGACGUCAACUAAUGUGGCCUAUAGAACGUGAGAUGAGCCUGGAACUUCCUACCUUUGGUGAAUAUGGGGUUUCCACCCAUGUAAAUCAAAUCAAACACAUCCAAGACUUGAUCCAGAAUCGCACAAAAAGCUCACUACAACAAACGUUUCAUUAUGCCAUCAGGCUGCCAAAUUUACACGCCGGAACCGCCGCCCUCCUUGAUGCCACCGCCGUAGCCCCCUCCCCAUAUGCAGCUGCGACCCUUGUUCACAAGCGCCACCGCCCUCCUCUCAUGCACCACCGCGGCCCUUCUCCAUGAGCACCACUGCAGCCCCCUCGCCGAUGCCGCAUCCUUCCCGACGCCACCGCACCUCCCCAUGCGCCGCCACACCUCCUGCUAUGCACCGCAGCUCUUCACCGAGGCCACGCCGCAACUCUGUGAUGCUGCACAGCUGCUCCUCCCCAUGCACGUCUACCUCCUCAAUUGCCGGCAGUGGUGCUGGUAGGUUUCUGAUAGGCGCUAGAGCUUGUGGCUGGCCAGGUGGACCGGCCAUGGCGGCAGCCAUUGGCGGUCAGGGCGGCAUGCAGGGCGGGGCAGCCGAGGCGUGCGGGCGUUGGGUGAGGGCUCGCGUGCGCCGGUUCGCGCGAUUGGUGACGCGGGCGUGCGAGGCAUCCUGUCCCGAGCGGGGGUUGGUGGAGGCAGUGGCAUCGCGGGGUGCGAGCGCGCCGAGCGGCGGCAGGUCUUCACGGGAGAGGUGAGAGCGUUGGGGUGCGGCCGGAGAUCCUGGUAGAGAGGAUCACGCGCGAGGCGUGUGGCAGCACUGGGUGCAGCUGCAUCCUGCUUGGGCCGUGGAGUGGCUAGGAUGGCGGCGUGUCCGCAGCGUGUCACGGGCAGAGCGCUUGGUGCGGAUGGCAAGACCUCGGGCGAGGCGAGACGAGGCGGAGGAGUUGCAGGGUGACGUCGAGCUUGACUGGGGAACCCACGCGUCAACCCAUACUAUCGCGGCCAGGGACUGGGUGGUGUGGCGGAGCGGGUAGACGGCGUCCACGCGGCAGGCGACGGCGGGCGCGAGGUGGACGCGCUCUGGCAUGCGUGGGAUCCACCGAGGGACCGCUCUUAGGGGGCGAUUUUCUCUAGAUUUUUGAACUGCUCGACCUACCUCCCUUUACAAAACUUGUAGGCCUACCAUUCUAAUUCAAACCUUGUUAAAGGAGUUUGCUCAAAUUCAAUAAUGUUUGUGAGAUAAAUCGCAUCAAAGUUCGGCCAAAACUGAGGAAUUCUGGAGUUUGACAGAGUUGACCAAUUUGGCUAUGUUUGAAUGCCCUUUUGAAAACCUUUUGUGCUGAUUUUGGCCUAACCCUAGUAACCAAAGUUAUUCAUCACCCAUAGCUCUAAAACUUUGCUAUAGGAUUCAGCUUGAGUUUUCAUUAGAAAUUUCGAAAUAAAGAGCCCCAAAGUUGGGACUUUGUUUUGUUUGGUAUACUUCAGCACACGUCGUAUUUUGAGUUUUUGAAGGUCCUCUGCUCAGAAUCAAGCAAAUCACCAAAAUAAAAGUUGUUAGGAAAGUUGAGUUCUACAACUCUUAGUUGGACAGAUGUUUAAGUUCUUAAGCAAAAAUUUGAGUUUUGUUUUAAACAACAAUUUAGCUUGUGAGGGGCACAAGUGUCUUUUUACUUGGUUUCACAUCUGCCACUUGUUCUCUUAUGCUCUAAUGACCUUACUUAAGAUUAAAACAUGGGUUAACUAGGCUAGGUUGUCACACUAGAACACCUAUAUUAUUCGUACGCAUCUAUAAUCUUUAUCACUCCUAGCAUUCAUGAUGAUCAACUUUGCUUGAAGGUCUGAUUGUAACCUGUAGGCAACCUUGAGUCUUAUUGCCCCUCUGUAGCUUCACUGGCCUACUGAAGCGAAGAGAAACAAACAAGUGAAUUAAAACUUGUGAAGCUACUUUGUCUUGGAAUCAAUGUGCAACAAUAUUGAAAGCAUAAUUCCAGUUCGUACCUAUUGUACUUUCUUUUUGCCUGCUCGUGUUUUAGCACCAGAUAUAAGCUGUUGUAUACUAAUGAAUCUGGAUCCUGCAACAGCUCCUGCACCUUUACUGCGAUUCUCAUUGAACAGACUCUUUGCAACGUUGGCAGUUCUAGCAUUUCUGGUUAGUGCCAAAGUGCUUUUUUUGGUUGUGACAAUGGUGCUUGGAGCAUUCUGGAUCAUAAUAAAGUUCUUGGAACAAUGUUAGCUGGAAUUUAAUGCAAAAAACUAUCAUGAUUGGAAUACUUGUUCGAUAUUGUUACCUGGUUUGCUGUUUCUUGACUAUGCACUACUUGUGUUGCAGCAAGGUUUUUCUCAGUGCUCCCAGCUUCAUCGUCAGUUGUAUUAUUGUUGGUUUGAGGGGUAUGCUGCAGAAUUUAAAAUCGGACAGGCAAGAUAUUAGUGACAUAUGUAUAUAUAUUUUCAAUCACAACCAAUUAUUGUCGAUACCUGGUUCCUUGUUUCUUGGCUGUGUAGUACUGGCCUUGCAUCAAUGUUGUCCUCGAUGGUCCUAGCAUAAACUUCAAUUGUAUUAUUGUUGUUUGCCGGGGUACGCUGCGGAUUUUAAAAGACGGGAGUCUAGAUAUUAGCGACAUUAUGCAAAUUUAGAACACAACAGAAAUAAACAUGCACAAAUUAUAUUCUGGUUACCUCUAGCAGUAAAGCCUGAUGAUAAGGCGCGAUCAUUGUUGCAACUUCCCCUAUCAAUUCUUGUCUAAAUACGGCUUUAAGUUGUUCUCUCCCUACUUCCUUUUCAGAUUCGUGCUUCUGCAUUUUGUCCUGUAACUGACGUUCUUGUUCUUCGAGCCUCUCUAUUCUCUCCUGAAGGGCUUCCUGCUUUCAUUUUGGAUUCGACAAGUAACCAUGGCCACGUGACCUGCUGUAUUUGGCUUCUGUUGUUUUCCUGUACGUUUCCUGGAAAACGUGGUCUUCCUUAGCAAGUCCAGAAGUGUGACUUGUUGGUUCUUCUUCAUCUGAUUGUGUUAGAGAUAAUUUUCUGGAUGUACUAGUCUGAUGGCAAGAAACAAUUAAUUGUAACAUUAAUUUGGUCAUGUUUUCAUACCAAAAAAUAGCUUCUAAUGCUGAAUCAAUGUUAUGAUCAAAUUAGCACUCAAUACUCAGAUAAAUACUCUCAGCCAGGUGAUUUGUCCAUCUUCCUUCCCUAGUGUGAGUAGUCUUCCAAAGUUGCAAAAGGAGUGGCUCAGCACCAGUUACUGGAUCUCUUUAUGAUUGCAACAUUAAACACCAUUAAUAUAUCAUUGUUUAAUGUACUAAAAGUUGUGAAUAAGUAAACAAAUCUUUACCUUUUCCCAACUCCACUGCGAGAAAUGUUUGGAACCCCCCGAGUGAUUUGUUCUCAGUUGGCUACGAUUCGAAGAGUUCGUGCUGCUCCUACUCUACACAUAGUCAUCCUGUAAAGUAAUGGUUAGCAAUGAAAAGUUGAACUCAUGAUUGUGUUCUUUUACUUACAAAAGAGCGCGUACCUUGAACUUCUUAGUUCCAAAGUACACGUUCAAAUAGUGCCACUCCAAAAUGUCUAUGUCUUCAGGCUUAUGUUCCAUUCUCUCAUCAUAACUAUCGUAUGCCUUGUAUGUAGAAUGCAAAACGGAUCGCCAACAUUUGUAGCGUUCAUUGGCAACAUUCUAUAUCUUUUUGUUCAGACUCUCAGUUGUCUCAAGGUCCCAAUGAUCCUAGUGGGAAAGAAAACUUGUUAUGUAUGCUACAUUGAUAAUAUAUGUUUCGAAGAAACUAGAGGGAACAAGACUAAUAUAUAACAUUUUAAAGCAGUAUCAGGUGGCCAUUGACAUACCAUUACAGAUUGUAUGAUAUCAUCCUUGACAUGUUGACACACAUCUUUCCAAUUUCUAACUCCAAUUAAUGGAGCCUUCUGCUUUGUAAGCAGAACAACCUCAUCCACGAAGGUACGUCUAUUAUCUCCACAGGGACCACCCACAUUUUCUGAAAAUUUGAUUUUCAGUUUGUCUGAGCCAAUCUUCGAUCUCUUGGCCACCGCAGCUAGCCCUUUCAAGUAUCCUCGGCCCAUUUUCUUGCCACCUACUUACAAUCAAAAAAUAGAAACUUACAUUAAGUCGUGCACUACUAGAGCAUAAAAAACUGCAGAAGGUGUGAAGCUUUUAGACCCUUUUGUCUGCAUUGGUUUCCUAGCAUGAGUUGGACAUUGUGAUGGCGGCGUGGCACUACUACCAUUGCUCUCAUCACGUACUUCUGUAGGCUUUGCUUGACCUCUAUUUUUAAGCCACUGAACAAAUGAUAAAAAGGUGCACAUAGAGGAUUGUACAAUUUUCAUCAAAAAUUAGAAUUAGUUCAGAGGAAAAAGGAUUUACAAAUAUCUCUCAUAAGGCCUUUCUGCCUUAACCAUUUAGAGUAUGUUUUUACUGUUUCGUCCUUGUAGUCAUCAUAUAGAUCUGCAAGUUACCAACACACUUAUGUGAGUAUAUUGUACAGUUAUAGACACAUGUGCAUGGUGUAGUACAAACAUCAUACAUACCACAAUCUGGGUCUUGGUCUUGAAGCCAAUCUUUGUAUUCAUCAAGUGAUUCAUCAUUACUAGUAUCAUCAUCAGCAUCAGUAACAUCAUCAGACUCAUUCACCCUUGGUUGUUUCAGAGGUGUAAUGUUGAUAGCUCCAACCAUUUCUUGUUUUGAUAGUAUCAACCUUAGUUUCCUUUCUUUAGAUGAAUCCAUGUACUGAAGCAUGCACUCUACAUCUUUGGUGUAACCAAUUGACUCAACAGAUGCAUCAGCAUUUCCUAUUCUCUUCUUGUAGUAGAAGUAGUCUCGCGCACCAUAUCCAAGUUGAUCUUUGAAAUGCCACAAGCUGAAAAAGUCUAUUUGUGCCCUGUCAAUAUUAGCCUGAACCAAGCGGUCAUCUUGUCCUUCUACCCCCAAGCACUGUACCAUUAGCUGCCACAUCUCACCUGUCAACUCGCCUGAUUUGUAUGUGCACAUAGAUAUCAAAAACCCCGCAGCAAUGAAUGAAGAUGUAGUACUACUGCUAUGCAAAAAACUAAUCAGUAGUAAUCAGAUCUAUGAUUUAUAAAAGCAUGCGCCAAUGAGGCAGCAUCAAAUCGAUUGUACGCAAUUAUUGUACAGAAAUUUUCUGCCCUAACCCUAGAAGGCGUUACAGGUGGAUGUCAACCUGUAACGUGCGUCUUCAAUCUCGGCUUCCUCAAAUCUGACCGUACUUGGUUGUGUGCUGGGUUCUCCAUUGCCGGCCAUGGAAGGAGUCACCAUGGAAGGAGAAGGAGUCGCCAUGGAUGGAGUCGCUUGGGCAGAGAGGAACCGUCACCCCCCUGACGCAGCCGGCGCAGUUUUAGGGGCAAGUGGUGAGGAGACUGAGAUAUUUGAGGGUUUAGGAAAAAAUAAUGGUGGGAACAUUGCACUAGUACUAAAAAUUUGAGGCUCAACCUGACGGGAUGUAGUGGGUCCCACCUAUCGUAGGCACGCGAGAACAUGCGGCAGCGAAAACUUUUCUGGUGGUGAAUAUGUUUUCUCGUGGUGUCUUUUGUGGGUCCUACCAGUCGGGGGCACAUAGGAUUAUGCUUUCAUACAGAGAAGACGCAAAUUGUAAUUGUUUUCAAUUUAAAAGCGAAGUGUCCUUUUGAUUUCAAUGUUUUUUGCACUCAUGUUUGGUUUCCACUAUUUUGAUUUUCAAAACCAACCUAUCUACAAUUUUAUCUAAAUUUGCGUAGUUAUUAUUCAUGAAUGUGGGUUGGAGGAUGCAUGACUAUCUCAACAUGUACCUAUGAUCCCUCAAUUGAAAUCCAAGGAGAAAUGAACGUACCCAAGUGUGGGUUAUUUUUAAAGGUGCAUCAUAACACCUAUAUGCAGGGAGGUGUAAGGUGUGCUUAGACACAAAAGCACACUGCGAAAAUACAACUCCAUUGGAUAGACAAAACCUUGUAGUGACUACAAGUUGAGCCAAAUUAACCACAAACAUAGUUCCAGCACUACAAGUUGAGCCAACCCGUCAUGGACAUCAUCAGGCAGAAGCAAAAGACACGCUAAAGCUACGCUACUUCACAGUUGCAUACAAAGAGAGAAUUAGUUAUCGAUCCCAUUUUCCUUUCGCACACCACAAUUUCGUGGCGUAUCCUGUAGUCCUCAUUGCAAAACAGCGUAGCUUGUUCCCAGCCCUUAACCUUGCCGCAGUCACCUCCAGCGCACGGGAAGUCGCUGCGAACUAGUGCCGGUGGAAGCGGAUCACCAUGCUCGUGCCACGUAACUCUACUGACUAGGUAGGCGGCCUCCUCGCGGCACACGCGGCAGCCAUCGUUGCGCAGCUUCUUUGGACCUGUGCUCCCGCUCGCCACCGAACCAUCCUCGAAUUCGACGUGGCGGAUGUACAUCUUCACGAUGUUGUCGUCCGUGGUGCCACCAUUGUUCCUGUACAUCAUCAGGGCGUAUAGAUAGGCCCCCACAUCGUGCCCACCCACCGUGGUGUGGGAGAGCUCAUGGAGGGAUUGAUGGGGGGUGGUGAAGAUAUCUACAAUCCCUUUGUGGGUGUAGGCCCUCGGGUUCCCCACACCAACCAGCAGAGCAAGGAGGGUGUAGUACCUACCCAGCUCAUUCCACUUCAUAUCCUCCCAGUACGUUCUGAGCAAUGCCACGCGCCGUCUGACGGAUGGGUCGCCGCACGCACGGUGCAUGACACUGCAGACCACCCGUAGCUUGCUUAGGUCGUCCAUGGGCUGGAAGGAGGUCGCAACAACAUGGCCGGCGAUGUUAAUGAGCACCUCCAUAGGGAGGUUGUUGACGUCAGAUUUUGACACGUAUGGAAUCGGCGUCAAGAAGGGAGAAGAUUAGCUGAUGCGGUGAGGCAAGGAGGUCACGAUUGGGAAUCGGCCGAUUGGUGCCACAGUUGGAGAUCGGCCGAUUGGUGCUGCAGUAUUUCGGCGGAUGGAGUUGGUAGGGAUCCGCCGAUUGAGAGGUUGGAGCAGUUGGGCCAAUAUGGGCUUGAAGUGGAUUACGAAGAGGAAGGAGGAUUGGCCCACAAGAGCGCAACGACCAACUUCGAUACGAGUCAUAUUUGUAAAUAUUCAUUUUCGUUUAAAAUUAGAGAUAGGGUCCUAGUCGGUUAAGAGGUUGGUUGUAACAGGCUAUAAAUAGCCAUCUUUAGAGAUUUGUAACCAUCAUCAAAUCAACAAUCUACUAUUUCCUCGCACUUUACUUUCAAGGAGGCGACUUCGCCAAUACUUUUCUUAUUUUCACAAGUUCGUACGAGUUGGCGGGGCUGCAUCAACUUGAUCUCCAGCCGAUUCUAUAAGUUCCAUUUAUCGAGUAAUAUCUAAGCUUUAACUUCGGGCGCAUCACUAUCGUUUCGUUUAGAUUUAUUCAUCAGUUAUUGAUAUUUACUAGAAUUCUAGGUUUUACUUGUUGUUCUAGUUUUAUCACCAGUUAUCCAGCUUGGAAUUAGAGCUUACUUAUAUUUUAUUUCUUAAUCUACCGUUUUUUGCAUAGCCGAUUAGAUCUGUUCCUAGUGUUGCUACUGUAGAGUUGUUUAGUUUACUCUAGCAGUUUUCUUCACCAACUUACUUGGUAAUCGGCUGUAUUAUAGCCGAUUUCUUUAUUACAGCAAAUCAGCCGAUUUGCUGAUAAGCCUCCUCGAGAUCGGAACCUUAAGCGAUCGCAACCUCUGGGAUCUGACACGUUUCUUUCCUUGCCAAUCAACAGGUUAGAUUGGCUGGCACGCCGCGCGAUCCGCACCAGGAUGAUCACCCGAACAGGAGUUAAGCAGAUUCUCCCGGGUCGUGUCUGCAACGCUAGAGAUUCAAUCGGCUGAUCUUUAGCGCAAACACACCUUUGGCACGCCCAGUGGGACAAAUACAACCACUACCACAUCGAAAGCUGCCGAAAUCUCCGAAGACAAUGUCAUCGAGGUGACGGAAGCAAACCUCAAGGACGACCAGAAGGAAGAAUUGGAGAAGCAAAUAGCAUACUACCGGAAGACAUGCUUACAAUCCUUCAGUCGUACCAGGAGCGGGGAAACUAUCAAGAAAGCUCCUUUUCCAACUCCCCGCCAGAUUACAAUCGCCGAGGACUCGGGCAAGUUGUCCGAGAUGUUUCAACAGUCUGUCUAUCAAGCUUUCAUUGAUCAAUCCCUAGUGAUAACUAAUACGGUAUACAAUGCCGUCAUCAGCUCCCUGUCCAAUGGCGUGUCUCAAGGAUACCAGCGGCCGACAUACGCCCUACCUAUCACAGCCCCGGUCAAGAGUUCUCCAAGCGUACCCUACUCGGCUCCUCAGCCGAUCCAAACUCAGCCUAGAGGAUCUAACGCUCCUUCGCCUUCAAUACAUCUGGGGCACAACGGUGCACCAUACCUCCAGACACAAGCGCCGUCUCAACCUGGUCAAUUUUCCUCCACGCAAUCAUCUUCAUUGAAUUCAGUGCCUUCGGGGGCACCAUCGGCGACAGCCGUCCAAGAUCAAUCGGCCGGCUAUGGAGGCUCCCCGACCCAGGCACCCUUCCAAUCGGCCGUGCGGCCGACAGCGCCACAGUAUCAACCAGCUGCGUUGGAGAUGGGCAGGGGAGCAGCGACAGCAGAAGUACUUUGGGGCACUGCGCCGAUUGUACUAUAUGAUGAAACGGCCGGUUCACAGAGACAACAGAUGCCGACCACACAACCGGCCAUGUCACUGCAGAUGCCGCACGCCUUCAUCCAUCACCCGGUCAUCCCUCCGCCGGUCUACCAACACGUGCCGGUUCCCCAGCCAAUAGUCCAUCAACAACAAGCAGACUGGACAGCACGAAUCGUGGAGGUGAUUCAAGAUCAAUUCGGUUUAAAGCUGAAGGUACAAACUUACACAUACAGAACUCCGUACAUGUCAACGGCCGACCCGUCACCCGGCUACUAGUAGAUGGAGGCGCUGUAGUCAACAUCAUGCCGUACGCCAUGGUCUGAAAGUUGGGAAAAAGCAACGAUGAUUUGACCAAGAUGGACAUGAUGCUUGAGGACUUCGAAGGCAACGUGUCUCCCGCCCGCGGAGCGCUUUGCGUCGACCUCACCAUCGGCAGUAAGACCCUUCCCACCACUUUCUUUAUUAUUAAUGGCAAAGGGUCCUACAACAUGUUACUCGGUCGAGAUUGGAUACAUGCAAAUUGCUGCAUCCCGUCUACAAUGCACCAAUGCCUCGUACAAUGGGUAGGCGACAACAUCGAAGUAGUCACCGUCGAUUCCGUGUACAGCGUCGCGGCGGCCGAUACACAGCAAUGGAGCUGCGAGCAUGUCAAGUGCAUAUCCAGGAGGAUGUGGGACACCGAUUUCCUGAAGGUGUCCGAUUUUGGUCUACAGCCGAUCCGAGCAGUCGGCUCUAAAGAUUCAGAUUAAAUGGAUCAGUUCGUCCGUGAAGACGGGAAGCUGGGGCACGGGUUCACAUCGGCCGAUUCAUUAGAGAUGAUAGAUUUAGGCGAUGGUACCAAGCCAAGGCCGACGUACAUUAGUGCUAAUUUGGAUCCAGAAUACAAAUGUAAAUUAACAAAUUUAUUGAAAGAGUUUAAAGAUUGCUUUGCUUGGGAAUAUCAUGAGAUGCCUGGAUUAGACCGGUCUAUUGUUAGACACCGACUGCCCAUAAAGCCGGGGUAUCGGCCAUAUCAGCAACCCGCAAGGUGAUGUAAUCCUAAAAUCCUGCCCGAUAUAAAAGCCGAAAUCACGAGGCUGAUUGAAGCGAAAUUUAUUCGGCAAUGCCGUUAUGCCAAGUGGAUCUCCAACAUUGUGCUCGUAUACAAGAAAAACGGGAAGCUGCGCAUGUGCAUCGACUUCAGGAACCUUAAUCAGGCUACGCCAAUGGACGGAUACCCAAGGCCAAUGGCCAAUGUAUUAAUAGACGCCGCCGGGGGUCACAAAGUCAUCAGUUUCGUGGAUGGAAACGCCGGAUACAAUCAAAUACUAAUGGCCGAAGAGGACAUAUCAAAAACAGCUUUCAGGUGCCUAGGUCACCUCGGGUUGUUCGAGUGGGUAGUGAUGACUUUCGGGUUGAAGAACGCCGACGCUACAUAUCAACGAGACAUGAAUUACAUAUUCCACAAACUUAUCGGCAUACUGGUAGAAAUUUACAUUGACGACGUCGUGGUCAAAUCAAAAGGACACCAGGAACAUCUGGCCAAUUUGCGGCAGGUAUUGGAAUGCACGAGAAAGCAUGGGUUAAAAAUGAACCUGAACAAAUGUGCUUUCGGUGUAUCCGCUAGACAGUUCUUGGGAUUCAUGGUUCAUGAGCGUGGGAUAGAAAUCAACCGGAAGACCAUAGCGGCUAUCAAUAAAGUCGUGGCCUCGCAGAAUAAAACCGAGUUGCAGUCCUUAAUCGGCAAGGUCAAUUUCAUCAAGAGAUUCAUAUCCAACCUGUCCGGACGUAUCCAGGCCUUCACAUCGUUAUUGAAGUUAAAACCCGACCAAGAAUUUGUAUGGGGAGAAGAGCAACGCAACGCACUAGAAGACAUCAACAGUACUUGGUCUCGCCACCCGUGUUGGUCCCACCACAAAUUGGUAAGCCAUUCAAGCUAUAUUUAUCGGCCGAUGAGCGAGCUAUCGGGUCGGCGCUAGUCCAGGAGUUUGAAGGAAAAGAACGGGUGAUAUAUUAUGUCAGCAGAAGACUUUUGGAUGCCGAAACAAGAUAUUCCCCGGUAGAGCGGCUAUGCCUAUGUCUUUACUUCUCAUGCACCAAACUCAGGCACUACUUAUUAUCAGCAGAGUGUGUGGUUGUAUGCAAAGACGACGUAGUAAAGUAUAUGCUGUCACUGCCGAUUUUGAAAGGACGGACCGGGAAGUGGAUUUUGGCUUUAUCGGAGUUUGAUCUGCGAUACGAAUCGGCAAAAGCCAUCAAAGGUCAGGUCAUCGCCGAUUUCGUUGCCCAACACUGCUGACCAGAAAUCACUAUCGUGGAGCAGUUCCAUGGACUCUAUAUUUUGACGGCUCGUCAUGUAGAGCCGGAUUAGGAAUCAGCAUCGUCCUCAUAUCGCCUCGGGGGGCAAGUUAUGAUUUCUCUCUGCCGAUAGAAGCAUCUGCUACUAACAACCAAGCGGAAUACCGAGCUGUCCUAAAAGGGAUACAAUUGUUGAGGGAGAUUAAGGCCGACGCCGUCGAGAUUUUUGGAGAUUUCAUGCUCAUCGUGGACCAGUUGACAGGAAGAUCCGAAUGCAAAGAUGAUGUUUUGAGAAUUUAUUAUGAGAACUGUCUCUAGCUUCUGAAAGAAUUUAAGUCCGUUGUUAUCUAGCAUAUCCCCAGAAAUUAUAAUGAAGAGGCCAACAGGCUUGCCCAGCACGCAUCCGGGUAUCGGCUGAUUCAAGGCGCCAUGAUUCUGGAACUCUCGGCCGACGACUGGCGAAAAGAAAUUGCUGAUUAUUUAAAGGAUCCAUCCAAGAAAGUGGAUCGGCAAGUGCGGUUUCAAGCCACAAAGUAUGUGUUACCAGAAGAUGAUCUGUUCUACCGGACGAUUGAUGGCAUUCUGCUCAAGUGCGUGGGGACCGAGGAAGCAAAAAUCCUGAUGGGAGAAAUUCACGAAGGCGUUUGCGAAGCUCACCAAUCUGUGCAUAAAAUGAAGUGGAUGAUUAGGAAUAAUGGAUAUUAUUGGCCGAUGAUCCUUGAGGACUGUUUCAAAUAUUAUAAAGGAUGUCAAGAUUGUUAAAAAUAUGGGAACGUGCAGCGUGCACCCGCAUCGGCCAUGAAUCCAAUCAUCAAGCCAUGGUCGUUCAGAGGUUGGGGAAUAGACCUCAUCGGACAAAUUUAUCCUCCGUCAAGUAAAGGACAUAAAUUCAUUUUGGUAGCCACGGACUAUUUCACCAAAUGGGUGGAGGCGAUUCCGUUAAAGGUCGUAACAUCGGCCGCUAUGGUCGAUUUCGUAAGGGACCACAUUGUCUAUCGUUUCGGCAUCCCUCAGACUAUCACAACCGAUCAAGGAACGAUGUUCACGUCGGGAGAAUUUGAGGAAUUCAAGGCCGAUAUGGGGAUCAAGCUGCUAAACUCCUCCCCGUAUUAUGCUCAGGCUAACGGCCAGGCCGAAUCUUCCAAUAAGGGGAUAAUUAAGUUGAUCAUGAGGAAAAUCGAAGAGCAACCCAAAAAAUGGCACUUAUGUUUAACCGAAGCUCUGUGGGUGUACAGAAUGGCUUUCCAUGGGGCUACCAAGGUAUCUCCUUACCAGCUAGUGUACGGUCAUGAGGCGGUAUUGCCAUAGGAGUUGAGAACGGGUUCAAGACGAACGUCGCUUCAAGAUCAGCUGACGGCCGAUGAUUACUUCUCGCUCAUGAAAAGGGAACUCGACGAUUUGGCGGGUCAACGUUUGAGAGCCUUGAUCAGUGUUGAGGAAAAUAAAAAGAAAGUAGCCAGAUGGUAUGACACGAAGGUCAAAGUCAAGCAGUUCUCCCAAGGGGAUUUGGUAUGGAAGUUGGUGCUGCCGAUCGGAUCUAAAGAUCCUAAAUUCAGUAAAUGGUCCCCCACUUGGGAAGGGCCAUAUAGAAUCGGCCGAUGUACCCCGGGAAAUGCCUACAUUCUGGAAAUGAUCGAAGGGGAAAAAUUUACUAGGGCCUUGAAUGGGAGGUACUUGAAAAGGUAUUACCCCAGUAUAUGGGUUGGUGCAUAAAAAUCGAUUACGGGGCAUGACAAGACAGAAUGGUUAUUCCCUGGAUGAUCAUGUAAGCCAAUACAGAAAAAGGAAUCGCCUAAAGGAGAAAAUAAUCAUUCAAAUCGGCCGAUUUAUCAUUCAGUACGGACGAUAAGUUACACGGCCGACACAGUACAAGUCGCCCUUAGAACAAAAAAUAUUUAAUUACGCUUCUUCUUAAACUCUUCCUCGAUUUGAUCUAAUUCCAUCAGAAGACAGCCACUCUGUUCUUCCACAUCUUUCAUCGCAGCCUCAGCCUCAACCUGGCGAGGAAGAGGAUGGCUCCGAUCUAGCACCGGGCGAGAUGUCCCCGCCACGGCGUUUUCAAGGACAACCGGAUGAGGGAGUGGGUGACUCCUGUCGACUUGCGGCCGCCUAUAACCGUUGCCGUCAAUGAAAUCCCAGAUCUGUUGGACGUCGGCAGGAAUGUGAUCUUUGAGUUCUUCACGAUGUGCCUUGAUCAAGUCCCUGUCCUCCUGCGACAACGGCUCGUCGGAGUGCAUGAGGUCGAUCGCCCGUUCGAGCUCGGGGCUAAGGCGCCUUGGCUGAAAAGGUUAACAUAUAGCCGCUUAAAAGUUAGUACGGUUUAAAGGAAUCAAACUGAAAAGAAGAAGUGGAGAUGGAUCUCGUACCUGAGUGACGGAAGAAGAGGAGAAAGAGGAGGAUGAGGAAGACAUGUCUGCGAAUGUUCCGAUGAAAAAAUAACUAGAGGGGAAAAGAAUCGAGUGGAGCAAGUACCCUUGAAAGCGAAACCAGGGCCAGUAUUUAUAAGAAAAGAAAGGACAAGGGUUUGGUAAGAUGUGUCCCGUCAGAAUAAAAGGUAGUAAAUAAAAGGGCGCCGCAAAGGAUGGGUCGAAAUUGAGUUCGGGUGCCAAACGGUCAAAAGGUAUUAAUGUUCUUACAAAAUGACCAGUACUUUUACAGAUCAUCCCAGAAAGGCAUUAAUGGCCGCGAUCGCUCGUCGCCUAAUCUGAUCUGCCGAGUCUAAGACCCGCUGGUCAUCCUCCGCUGAUCCCGGGACUUCUGGCAUAUGGCGAUGAAUCCUGAGGGCCUCGUGGGCCAAGUGCUGCCUCUCCUACUUCAAAUCGGCGAUGACGGAGGGGAGAUCCUGAAGUUUCUGCUCUUCGAUGGCUAUCUCCUUGACCACCUGCUCCAUUUCCUUGGCAAGUUCCGCCCUUCGGCGCUUGAGGUGAUCUAUGGUGCCGACGAUUUCAGGGCGGGAGUUCUCAAGGAAGUGAAUCCGAUGGUGUAACUCUUGGGCCCGAUGCUUGUACGAGUCCUCCUCUUCACGAGUCUUGGCCAGCUUGGCACGAUCGGCCAUAUGGCGUAGAGCCCUAAAUACCGGGAUCCGCAUCGACUCAAUGUACGCGGUGGGCGCCAAGGCUUCUUUUGCUUCUUCUAGGACUCGGCCGCUGAUGUCACCAAAGAGCUGCCGAAUCGGCGAGGCGUCCUCCACCAAUUGGCCAAUGUCUUCUUGGAGAAGUGCCCGUAUACUUUCAAGCUUGGCGCGGACAUCAUCGGGGACGGAGCUCAAGGUGACUUGACGAGAAGCGACUUCUUCGUCAUCAGAGAGUGCGAUCGCAAAUGAGAAGAGGCUGUUAUUGGGAGUGUCCUGUUCCUGCGAAAUGAUAAAUAAAAGAAAAAAUGAGUCAACCGAUGGUGGUAGCAAAUCGGCCAGUUCGUUUAGUAAGACUUCUUACUUCCUUGAAGCGGAUCUCCUCUAUCUGCACCUGCGGAAUCAUUACUCUUGGCUCGGGGACUGGUGCGAUUGGUUCGUCGGAAGAGGAGGAUUCGACGAUGAUCGGCGUCCUGCUCGGGCCGGCCUCUUGAAGGACUUCUCUGACAGGCGGCUGUUCGGAGAGCACAGUUAGUGUGCCGAUGACCUGCAUCAAGGUUGGUAAGGUCAUCAUUUAAAUGUUAAGAGAAUUGAGUUGAGGGAUCUUAUACCUCAGUGGGAGGGAGCACUGGUGCUUCAGUUUUUGCUUGGGGCAUCGCCGAUUGCUGUGAGUCCACCAGGGCGGUCUAUGCAACCUAAUAUAGGAAAAGGGUCAGUAUUGAAGUAACGACUAGGAGGAAUUGGAUGGUGAGUUUACCUGAAUGGCUUCCACCAACAAUGACGUGGCAGCCGCUCCGGCUUCUGUGGUAGCUUGGAGGUCAACUUCCUCGAUGACCGGGAGGGUUGGCGCAACCAAAGAUUCCGCCGAUGCAGCCGCGGAUGGAUCGGCCGAUUCUGUGCGGGCUCGCACCCGGCGGCUCGUUUUCUUUAUAAUUUUCUUCUGCGCCUGCUUCAAUCGGCCAGCGAUGUCAUCGACGGAGGCGGCGUGGUAGCCGAUAAGGGGAAAUUCCGUAUACAGGUAAUAGUUUUCUAUUGACCGGCCACUCCGACUGCGUUUUGGGGGAACGCGGCUCUCAGACUGAAAGAGAUAACAAGAGUCAGUGGUAUAAAAAGGAAGGAGUUGAGAAUCGGCUAAAGGAGGAGCGAUACCUCUGCAUUUGGGUUGAUGUUGUCGGGAUCCAAGAUGUUGCAAUAUAUCCCCGCAGAAGCGCAGAAUAGAUGUUGUUUCCAUUCUGCCCACCAUAGCUUGUACUGUUGGACAGCGAAGGGAUCCACUACCCAAUCGGUCAGGUCUAUGGUGCUGGAAUCUAGGACCUGAUCAUACAACCGGCUGUAAUCGAGACCUUUGGUGAGCUCGUCUCGGGACCCAUGCCGAAUUGCCGCGCUGCGACAGAAGGAUUAUAAAACUCAUAGGUGGGGCCAUCCUUUCCUGAGAAGAAAUUCACCGGCAGAAUCCCUGGCUUGAUCAACUCAUCUAUGAGAUCCUCGUCAAAUGUGUUGGUUGUAGAGUCGAAGCAAGAGGGGAGCUCAAAGAGUGGUUCCGACCUCUGAUAAGGGUACCAGUUGGUUGCGUCUUCACUAAAGCCAUUGUAGAAGCAUCUGAAAUACUUGGCUACCUUGGUGGCAGAAUACGGGCAACCAGAGAAGGCCGAUGCCGCUUCAUCGAAGGAAGUGCACUAGCGUCGAACAGUGAGGUUUUCUACCGAUUCGAUAUUGGGGAAGGUCAUGUGCUCCAUUCGCUGCUGUGAGAUCUUACUCAUGUACAGAUUAAGCCAUAAGUUGAUGAACCACCACGGUCCGCCUGGGUUUCCAAUCGGCUCUCCCUUGGAUAGCUUGAUGCCGACCUGGUGCAACAUAUGAUAGACCGAUCCCAAUAGAUGCUUUCCGAGAGGAACAGAAGCUCCUAUCGAUAGCGCCUCGGCCAGAGCCUCUGUGUUAGAGGAUGGACCAGCUGCCCUCCUGCAAAAGAGGUGCUUUUCCAGCCACAUCAUUAGGAAGGCCACAUGCUCCCUUUCUGCGACUGUCCCGGUCCUCCUGUUGCACUUGAUAAAUCCUUUCCACCCGCUGAUUCCUUUUGUCUCCAACCGAUGGGACAUUUUGACCAGGUAGCAGAAAGGAGUAUCAGGGGAGGAGAUGUCAAGGCCGGUCAACAUUACUACAUCGGCCAGAGUGGGAGUCAUGGGCCCAUGUCCGAAUAGAAACGCGUUGAGAGCGUCGGACCAAAAGUAGGAGGCUGCUAUCACUAAAGGCUCAUUCCUUUCCAUCUGGGACAAGGACAAGUCAAUACACUGGCUGAUUUUUCGCUCAUCCCACUGGACUCUUUUGGAGGCGGCUAUCCUUUGAUACCAUUCUCUCCAGUCGAGGGUUUCAUUCGGCCAUGAUCUGAAGGUGCCUGACCAGUGAUUUAGGUCCAUGGUUGAUUGCUUAAAUGGAAUUCUAUGGGUUUCCAAGUUGAUUAGAUCAGUUGGAUCUGGGUUUCCCAUAGGGCCGAGACAGAUGAGACCAGGGGUUUCGGUGAGGCGAAUGGUAAUCUGGUGUCUAACCUCCUAAAAAAGGUAAAAAGGGCGGAAGUAAGAACGGAUCUAAGGUAAAUGCAUUGGCAUUAAAGAGUGAAAAGAAAAGUUUUGGUAAAAACCUCCGGUACGAAGCUCAUCGUGGUUGGCGGGAUCACUGGCAGAGCUACGGGUGUUGAAGCUGUCGGUGGGGCCUCUGUCGUCGAUGAAGUUCCCGCUCCCGCUGAUGGAGCUCCCGCUCCUGCUGAUGAAGUUCCCGCUCCUGUCGAUGGGGCUGCCACCAUUGCUGCUGGAACCGCUGCUGUUGGAGCCGUCUCCGGGACCUCGGAUGAAGUUCCUGAAGGCGUCGCCAUCGGAGAGGUGGGUUGGAAUGUGGAUGGAAAAGGCUGCCGGAGAAGGAGAUUGGAAGCUAGGAGAAGCGCCGGAGGAAGAAGGGAACCAGUGUGCCAAAGAAGGAAUACGUGGGCUUGUGAAAAAGAAGUGCAGGACGUGCUGAUAUUUAAGGGCGGUCUGAGAAAGGGUAAAAGCGGGAUUUUUAACGCGCUGUCGGUUCAAUUUUUCGGGAGGAGUGGUUGUCAUGGGCGCCCAUUUCGAAAAGAUUGCAAUCAUCAGGCAGAAGACCGUGAAACGGAAGGAUAUUUUCAAUGCAUUUGUUUCGGAGGGGAAGUUGAAGAGAAUUUCGAAGUAAAGAAUAUGUUUUACUCUGAAACUGGGGGGCAUGUGUUGACGCCAGAUUUUGACACGUAUGGAAUCAGCGUGAAGAAGGGAGAAGAUUAGCUGAUGCGGCGAGGCAAGGAGGUCACGAUUGGGAAUCGUCCGAUUGGUGCCACAGUUGGAGAUCGGCCGAUUGGUGCUGCAGUAUUUCGACGAAUGGAGUUGGUAGGGAUCGGCUGAUUGAGAGGUUGGAGCAGUUCGGCCAAUAUGGGCUUGAAGUGGAUUACGAAGAUGAAGGAGGAUCAGCCCACAAGAGCGCAACGACCAACUUCGAUACGAGUCAUACUUGUAAAUAUUCAUUUUCGUUUAAAAUUAGAGAUAGAGUCCCAGUUGGUUAAGAGGUUGGUUGUAACAGGCUAUAAAUAGCCAUCUUUAGAGAUCUGUAAUCAUCAUCAAAUCAAUACAACAAUCUACUAUUUCCUCGCACUUUACUUUCAAGCAGGUGACUUCGCCAAUACUUUUCUUAUUUUCAUGAGUUCGUACGAGUUGGUGGGGCUGCAUCAACUUGAUCUCCAGCCGAUUCUGUAAGUUCCAUUUAUCGAGUAAUAUUUAAGCUUUAACUUUGGGCGCAUCGCUGUCGUUUCGUUUAGAUUUAUUCAUCAGUUAUCGAUAUUUACUAAAAUUCUAGGUUUUACCUGUUGUUCUAGUUUUAUAACCAGUUAUCCAGCUUGGAAUUAGAGGUUUCGGCUUACUUAUAUUUUAUUGCUUAAUCUACCGUUUUUUGCAUAGCCGAUUAGAUCUGCUCCUAGUGUUGCUACUGUAGCGUUGUUUAGUUUACUCUAGCAGUUUUCUUCACCAACGUUACUUGAUAAUCGGCUGUAUUAUAGCCGAUUUCUUUAUUACAGCAAAUCGGCCGAUUCACUGAUAAGCCUCCUCGAGAUCGGAACCUUAGCUGAUCGCAACCUCUGGGAUCUGACACGUUUCUUUCCUUGCCAAUCAACAGGUCAGGUUGGCUGGCACGCCACGCGAACCGCACCAAGGCUAUCACCCGAACAGAAGUUAAGCAGAUUCUCCCAGGUCGUGUGUGCGACGCUAGAGAUUCAAUCGGCUGAUCUUUAGCGCCAACAGAGGUUUGUGAGCAAUCAGCAUUGCCUCCCCGAUGCCAUGAACGUGGAGAGGUGGAGGGUCACGAAAUCUAAGGGGGAAUGGUGGAAGGGGGCGACGACGGGCUACAGGACAAGUUCUUGAAACGCUCUUUUUGUGAUAUGGCGAGGAGACUGCGGAGAGGGGGCAAGGUAUAGGAGGAGUUAUAGAUAUUACCUACUGCCAGUGCCUUGGGAACUGCCGAAGAACAAGCAAAGGUAACAAGAGAUGGGGAGAUUAGGCGGCGCUGCCUUUUCUCGGGUUUGGUAGGCGACCGCUGGAACAGGCCCCGCAAUAACUUCCUGUCCCAUCCCGUCCCACUCAAGCACGACUAUGACUGACAUUACACCAAGACGCAGGCCUAGUACUCAAAAACUGUUGACUACGACUGACAUUACAUGGUGACGCAGCAAAGCAUGACAUGCCCUGAGAUGGUAGAUGGUGGACAUGACACAUUAGUCGUAAUUAUGAAGAUAGCUUUCGCAUGCUUUCGUACCUAGCAUAUCAUAUACUAUGUCGGUGCUCCUCUUUGCGCUUCUUCCGCUCAGCCCUGCGCCGGCGCCAUUCUGCGUCCAUCGUGAGACGCCGCUCGGUCACGUCCUCAUCGCGGUGGCGCUCCUCCUCCUGGCGGUGGAGCUCCACCUCCUUCUCAUGGCGGCAUUCCCUCUCCUUGGAGAUCUUGAGGAUGUGCUUCAUGAUGCAGUCAUUGGUCUCCUUCUGCGUGAUGGCGCGGAGGUGCCGGUCCUCCUCCUCCUUCUGAGCCGUCUCCAACAAGUUGAAGAUGACCUCCUCCACCGGAAGAGGUUCCGGUUCCUCCUCCGAUGCGGUCUCACGGUCCAGAUCAUUCUCGAGGUUCACCUCGAGGUCUGACUCGGAUGACAGAGUCAGCGGAGGCGUCAGUGGAGGCGUCGGGGGGCAACGUGAGGAUGACGGGUUAGCAUCGCCAAUGUUGUCUUCAAGCGGCGAGGAAUUGUGGCGGUGGGUUGAGGGGUAAGGUGUGCGUGGGAAGGGUGCUUGGCUUCUUGACGUGCGGUGGUGCAAUGGCAGCCGACGGUGCAUGCACGGGGGCCGGGCUUAUAUAGGCAUGUGGGUGGGUGGAACUAAUGGUGCAUUAACCUCACCCCUCAAAAGACGGGGCGCCUGUGUUAGGAACCAUCACGAGAAACCGAUGGACUCCUAGGUAAACAUGCCAUCUCUUCCUGGGGAACUGAAGGACUGCGACCAGUCGAAGGACCGGGUAAAACGGCGGCUCUUCAUGGGUACCGCGUGACCGGCGCGGCCGGGGAGUUGAAGGGCCUACGCGCAAAGCAGGGAUAGAUAAUCACUCCAAGGAAUAAAUUUCUUCAAACUUACAGAAAUCAAGUGAUAGCUCAAUGGUUUGUCCGCUGCUCUGGAACUUGUAGGCUUCGGUUUGAUUCAGGAUGCAACACCUUCUUUUUGCAUUAUCUUUCAAUUUAUAUUCCUUCAUUUUUAAUUUACAAGUUUUUUAGUCCUAAUUUUUUGCCAAUUUAGGUUUAUACAAGUCCUAACACAAUGUGCAUGAGUGGAUGCUAUCACAAAUACAAAAGGUAAGUGUAUAUCACUAGCUUGGUUUAUCACAAAUACAAAUACAAAGAUAAGUGUAUCUUGGUGUCACGAACCCAAACCUAGGUAAAUACAAAUACAAAAAAUGGUUUGUGCGAUAAAUCCUGUCCUUGAGGAGAUCAAUAACCAAUUUGCAUUGAAACAUUGUCUUAGCUCCCACAUGAAAUCACCUCAAGGCAAAGAAGGUGACAUUGAACAUGAUACACCUAUAUCAUAUGCCAUAUAUAUGAUACACCUAUAUGAUACACAUUUGAUCAAACAAGAUUCCAACUUGCCUAUUCAUAAGCCCCUGGUACCUUGAGACAUUCGAAAAAGGUCCGUUCAUUGUAGAGUAAGUAAAUAGUGCAGCAAAUGAUAAAAUGUUAAUACAAGGGGUCGGGUAACACAAUGUAAAUAAAACCACGUGAAAGGAAAAGGUUUUCUGAGAAAUUGGAAAAAAGAAUCACCUUAUUUGGAUAAUAAAUGCGAAAUCUAAACACCAUUAACUUUUUUACAAUGAAUCAAAAUAUAAAAAAGAAGAACACCAUGAACCGAACUAGAGCAGCAUAUGAACCAGGCGCUGACAAGUGGGUCCCGCAUGUUAGUCACACACCGGCCAAAUACUAUGUAUUAGAAGGUUGAAAAGCUAGAAGUGAAACAAAACAACUAAUAACUCAAUGGUGUCUGUGACAUUGAUAUAAAUCGACGAUCCAGGUUUGAUCCCUACCCUUCACCCUUUUUCCAAUUAUUUUUUUUGCUGAAAAUUGGAUUGGCACCGGCAGGUCGGACCCACAUGUCAAGAAAAAUUGGUAAGUGCAUCAUAAUAUCAAAAAAUAUUGGAGGGAAUAUCAUCUCAAGCCGACAAAGGGUCUCUCCAAUUGAUUUGGUAAGUUCUUUCAUCUCAGUUUCCUCAAGCUCGUUUGAACAUACCAAACUAAAAAACAUGCUGAGCUCGAUCAAUGGGACACUACUUCUUCAGGCAAUAUUUGGUGCACCACCAAGGGUAAAAGUUUUUGUAAUAUAACAUGGUAGUCAUGACUUUUAAGUCCAGCAACCUUAAAACAAUUGACAUCAACACAUCUCUUGAUAUUUGAGGCACAAGCAUCGGGCAUCUUAACACCUUGAAGAAAAUUGCACAGAAUUUCCUUCUGAUCAUCACCUAACUUGUACAACGCUGGUGGCAAAGUGUAUUUUCCUUUAUCGUUGAACAAUAUAUGUUGAUCCUACCUUAUACCCAAUUCUUGCAUAUUGAGUCUAGCCUUCUCACUGUCCUUACUUUUACCAGCCAAAUCAAGCAUAGUCCCUAGCAAGCUCUCACAUAUAUUCUUCUCAAUAUGCAUCAGAUCGAGAUUAUGGCGUAUAAGUAGAUAAUCCUAGUAAGGAAGGUCAAAGAAAAUACUCUUCUUCAUCCAGUUGUGCCAUCUAUUAUCUUCAUCGCACUACUUCCUCUUCCUCGAAGUAGUCGCUCCAAAAGUGACUUGCUUGAAACUCUUUAACUGCUCCACUACUUGUGCACCACUCAGGGGCACUGGAGUUUCCCUCAUUUCUACCUUGUUAUUGAAGCUGGCCUUGUUCCUCCACCACCUGUGGUUCGUAGGCAAGAAAUGACGAUGGCCCAUGUAGCAAUGCUUUGAACCACAUUUUAACCACAAGUAAUCAGUAUCCUUUUGACAAUAAGGACAAGCAAACCUGCCUUUUAUGCUCCAACCAGACAACAUCGCAUAUGCAGGAAAAUCAUUAAUUGUCCAAAGUAGCAUUGCACAUAGAGUAAAAUUUUCCUUUUUUCCUGCAUCCCAAGUAUCAACUCCAUUUUCCCAUAGCUCUUUAAGCUCAUCAAUCAGAGGCUGCAAAUAUACAUCAAUGUUAAUUCCUGGAGAUUUAGUCCUAGGAAUUAGCAUCGACAUCAUCCAAUACGAUUGUUUGAAGCACAACCAAGGAGGCAGGUUAUAAGGAAUUAGGAUCACUGGCCAUGUAGUGUAAGUCACAUUCAAUAUCCCAAAUGGAUUGAAGCCAUCCGAUGCAAGUCCCACCCUAACAUUACGUGGAUCACAUGCAAAUGCAGUAUACUUGGCAUCUACGUGCCUCCAUGACUUUGAGUUAGCUGGGUGCCGCACUUUCCCAUCUUCCUGGUGCCAACGCAUAUGCGCCGAUGUGGUCUCGUUCAUAUAUGAGCAUUGUUGCUAAUAAUGAACAUGCACUUAAUCUGAUAUAGCCUCACAAUAAAAGAUAUUUGGGUAGCCUCCUUGCAACCUGGUACAGUUCUUUCCUAGCUUGUUCCAUUAACUUGAAAAAUUUCCUUGCUGACUCAUUUGGCUCCUCAAUAUUACCACCUCUAAUUUCACCAUGUAUGGCACCACUAAUUAGCGAUGAAAGCAGUUUAGUGGAAAGACGCCAUCAUCAUGAUUACCUUCUUCACCUUCACGAACAUCCCGAUCAUCAUCGUCCACAACAAUACAUUUAGCAGAUCUGCCAGUAUGAUGUUGUUUCUUCUAAUACGGAUCAAACCUCUAGUAUUCAAGUGCAACUCAACAACUUCUUUAUUUUGGUAUGCCGUGCGAUGACAUCCUCUGCAUGGACAGGGCGCAGUCUGUCCUGGAAAGGUGCCAUCAAAGGUAUCUUCAAUGAAUUUAGCAACUCCGUUUCACCACGCAGCAUCUGUAUCUAACAAUUCCAUCCAACUACGAUCCUCAUGAUCAUGUGCCAUAUUCCAAAAAACCCAACUAAUAAUUUAAGCACAGGUUUGUACUACUAUACAACUCCUGAAUAACCUGCAUAAAAUAUAGGUUCCUCCAUCGAUAUUAUUACUAUCAACAAGUAUUAUAAAAUCUUAAUGAAUACAUAUACUAAUUGAAGAACUCAAGUUUGUAAGCAUGCACAUUAAUUGCGAUAGAUCUGGAUCGAUUUUAUACCUUGCAUUGAGAGGAUGGAAUCGGACAACACCUGUGUCAUCCCGUGGAGAGAGAUCGUGGGGGACUAACAAGGGGACUCUUCCUUGGCACUCGGCAACUCGCGCGCUAGGGAAGGUGACGGCAGGCAGUGAUCGCGCGACGAAGGUAUCAUCACGCAAAGAAGGGAAGGUGUCGUGUGAGGAGGGGAGGUGAUGCUAGGAGAUAGAUUAGGGUUAGGCCUCUCAGCUCAUGAAAGAAAGACCUACCAUAUGUGUGGGCCAAAAUAAAGGCCUACCAACAUAACCAAGCUGGCGGCACCCACAAACUCAUCUAUUACAACCAUGCGUUCCCCUACAUUGCAACGACUAUAUAUUAUUGCAAUAGCACCAUCUUUCUAGCAACAAUUCGAGUGUUUGUUGUUAUAACCAAGAUUUCUUUUGCAACAAUACCAUUUCCAUUGCUAUAUCUAAUACUAGUUGCAAUGAUACAUAUUAGCGUUGCACUGUCUAAGACUCAUUUGACAUUGUCUAUUUUCGUUGUUAUAACCAAGAUUUCUUUUGCAACAACAAGAUUUUGAUUGUAAUAACCAAGAUUUCUUUUGCAACAACACUGUGCUUGUUGUUAUAUCUAAGACUCUUUUGCAAGACACGAUAGUACUUAUCACAAUGUGUUAUAAUCAUUGUAAUAUGGACAACUAUUGCCACCACUAUAAAAUAGCGUGGCAAUAACGUCGCCGCAAUUACAACCAACAUAUAUUUGUUAUGAUAUAGCGUAAUAAUUACAACCACUAAAAUUGUGAUAACAACGCUACAAAAAAUGGUGGCAAUAUGGCACCCAAUUACAACCAACAAGGACUAUUGCGUAACAACCCCUAUGUACUACAACAAAAAUCGCCUGUUGCAAAAAAAAACCGUGGCAUUAGUGACAAAACCUUGUAGUGGGAGCACUCUAGGCAUGUUCGAGGGAUGUCAUCAACAUUGCCCUGGGGUAAUGCAUUCCCCAACGACCAAGCAAGCUACAGGAAGCACAACCAUUAUAAGAAAAACCUUGAAGAGAGGAUGAGAGAAAUCGCCAAGCAGGAGUUCUUAGAGUUCUUGGCCAACCAUGCGAUGAGCAAAUUGAUGGCUGACCUGAUAGUAUCCGAUGGUCAAUGACAAGAAGAACCAACCAUGCUACUUGCCCAGACAAAAUUCGUUGCUCCGAGUAGUGUUAGCUCCAUUGCAAACGUGAGGUAUCCCAUUGAUGACAUACAAUUGGAUACACCAUGCAAGUUUGUUAUACCUUAUGGAAGGAAACAAAAUAAGUUUUGAGACGUUGCAACCAGCACCUCCGCUAGAAUAUGCCUAGGUGCAAGUUGUGACGGUGUUGGAUGAGUCAAUUGAGAUAGACAUCCCUACUGAUGAGGGGAUUAUGGUUCUCGGUGAUGCGAUGAGCCAGUAUAUGCUAUGACAUCACUGAGAUAUUAUUCUAAAUGCAGCGCUAGAAACCUCAUGGUCGAGCCAAGAACUAACCUUUCCAGAUUCAAAUGUUGACAUGGAGCAGUCAAUGCUGUCAAGUCUGGAGGGAGCUAACAAUGUGGAUGAGCAGCCAAUGCUAUCACCUAUCCUAGAAGAUCAGCACUAGAAGACGAGGAACGGGUAGAUGAUUUAGAUGUUAAUGAUCCAACAUAGCCUUCGCUGGCAUCUCCACCUCCCAAGAGGCUAGUGGUACCUCGUAUGGUUAGCACAUAUGAAAAGGCUCCAUCGGUAGACGUCGACAAGUUUUUAAAUGUAUUAAAGAAAAAGGCUUCAUCUUCCGCUGAAAAAUCUGUAACUUGCAGCGCCUCUCGGCAAAAGGAAAAGGAUCAAAAGCUCAAUUUCUUUGUGUCAGAUGAUGUCCCAAUGGAUUAUGAGCAUGGCAAACCAUUCUUGUACCAGUGGGAUCUGCUGGAGGGAUAAUGGGAACUGAAUAAGCUACAUCAAUGGAUCAUGAAUGCAAUGAACCAAGGCAUUCGAGCAAUCACUGCGCAUGUCCCAACUAAGGUUUUCCUUGGUGUUCUCCCGUACCAGAUUGUGAUCGAUUUUAAGAAUUUGCACAGACUUCACAGUCGACAAGACCUUGACGUGAAUCUCAUUUCCAUAUGGUGCUUUUAAGUCCACAUGUACCGCAUACAUGAGUUUUAAAUACAUACAUAUUUUAUGUCAAGUACCUGAGCAACCUAUUCUGUAGGAUGCAAUAGAAGGGAGGACGAAUUGACGAACGGUAGGUCCAAGGAAGCGUACCUUGACCCAGCACGAAUAAGCGAGCCAGAGCACAAGCUCAAAAUGACAGAAACGAUCAAAGCACAAAUAAAAGCAGCAGAGACACGAGAGGAGAAAGAUGCUAUAAAAAAACACCCAUAGAAAAGAAAUGCAUACAGUGUCCGUAUACAUUGCAAAAGUAAUGAAGAAAAAGCCUGACAAUGAUUAUAUCAUGGCUCCUUACGAUUUUAAGUAAGCUAGAUUUAAUUACUAUAUAUAUACUAGAUGCUAUUUAAUGUCUCCUAUAAUAUAAAUUAUUUAUAAUGUAGAGACCACUGGAUUUGCAUCAUUAUUUUACCCAAGCUAGGAGAAGCAGUGAUCCUCGACUUAGCCAACUAUCAUAGAGAUAGGUACAAGAAUUUCAUAGGCAUUAUACAAAAGUAAGUCAAUCCUUGGCAAUACUUAAAUGCAUGUUUACAUUCUAUGCACCUAAUUUGUAUUAUUAACUCUUGUUUUUAUAUCCUCAAAGUGCGUACAAGCUUUACAUACUAAAAGGCAGGUUCCACAAUCUAAAAAGGACGAAACCUAUGAAAAUAAUAUAUCAUAGAUUCAUAACAUAAAAACUUGGUUUUUUCAUAUAAUGUAGACUUGUCAUUAAUAACAACUCAUCAUUUUUUCUAUUUCAUUGCAGUGUCACAAGCAACCUCCUGGCUCUAUGCUAUGCGGAUAUUACCAGUGCGAGUUCAUAUAAAACAAUGGGAAGUACCAGACGAAUCCUGAAGAGUUAAGUCUCUUAUACACUGGCAUGUGCUAAUUUCCUAAUGCUAAUACAUCCUAAUCAUCAUUUACUGUGUACCUGCAGAUGCCUACCAUCGACAUUAACUAUAGCAAUAUCGAAAACAAACAAAUCGACAACAUUUGUAUGGACAUGGCGAGGUUCAUCCUACGCAAGAUUUGUCAUGAGGAUGGAGCAUUCAUUGAUAAAGAUGGCAUGUUGAUGGCGGACGAGUGCACAAAUCUUUGUAGAUGGGCGUAGUAGUUUUAAUAUUAGCAUGGCAAAGAACAUCUCUAUUCCAAAUGUUGGAUUUUUAAUAAUGUGAACUAUAUAUUAUGUAUGAUGUAGUUUUUAAUAAUGUGAAUUAUUUAUUACUCAAGUUUUUUGUUAUAUGGUUGAAGAUACAUUUAAAAAUUGGCGGGAAAUAGAAAUAAAAAAUAAUUCAUAAGAAAUAAUAUAUUGAAUGGGAAAAUACAUGUUCUUGGCGGGCCGCAUAAGCACCCACCAGCACAGAAACCACAUGUGGUAAUGAGUGAUGUAAUCACACCGAUAUCACAGAAAGCAUCGGUGCUGACGGGUAGCUAACAUCGCCCUCCAGCAGAGAACGGUCUGUGCUAGCGGGCAAGCACAUAGUAGCACAGACAACAUUUGUGCUGGCUCAAGGUUGCUGGCAGGUGCGAUACCCACCAGCACAAAUCUGUUUUUGCGCCAGCGCAAAACUUUUCUAGCGUCUUUUAGCUCGAUGAAGGGCUGGAGUAGAUGGCUACGGCUAUGAUUGAACUUGUGCAGAGUUUGAAAAAUUACAACUUUGACCGGUUUAGAUGUGUAGUAGUACACACAUCUACGUACAUGCGGGUGCGUGUAAAUGGUGUAUGGAUGUGAUUGCACCUGCGUAUCUGACUUCCAUUUGUUAAAUAAAGAUACAUGUGUAAGAGCGAGCAUGUGCACAUUCUGAUGCAGCUCCUGGUUUAAUUCAAACUAAAGGUCUAUGCAAAAAAGAAACACCUGUAGUAUUAAUAGAAACCGAUCCGAUCGCAUCCCUUGAAGAUGGAGCUCUUUGUAUAAGUAAAGUCUACGAAAAUUAAACAUCACGAGCUCUUGGUUAGAUCCAUCAGAUAGCCAAAUGGAUGACACCCCGAGCCUGUCGAGGUAAGCAAAAAAAAAAACAAAAAUGACCAUCAACAAAAGAAAUGAUUAGUAAAAAAUAAGAUGGCAACUAAAGUAAUAAAUUCUGGGUGGGUAGGGUGACUCAUAAUUAAUUUUGUGAUAUCUCUCAACGUUACCAACAAUCGCAUGCACACACCGUGCGCUACAAGCACACACCUCAGUCAAGUCAAUUGAGCAAAUUUUACCAUCUCUAUGGUCUCAGAAGUAAUACUAAUUCUGAACUAUCUUUUUUCCCACAAAAGAAAAUUGUUCCUUACACUUGACCAGAUUACGUUGGGACGUUAUAAGCACAGCACAUCUAGCCACAUGCAACAAUGAAUGCUCAUAUAUAAUAUCACAUACCUAUAUAUAGAUGCAAGAAAAACAAAGAUAAACGAGUCAUUAGUAACUAACAUCGGAUCACGUUCUUUGUCAACGCAUGCAGUCACAUGCAACAAACAAUAUAUAAUCAACGUUCUUAUCAUGUACUAUAUAGACAAUGUAAGAAUUAAAAAGCCUUUGGAUGAACCGCAUCCCAAACCAUGCAAUAUGUGUAAAGGUUGACUGAAAGACUGAUUAAGGUCGCCAAGCUGGGGCUGCGUGGAGUGGAGAAGGAUUAGUUGUUGCUUGCCUUGGAUUUGGAGCAGCAGAGAGGAAGGGACUGGCGUGCUGCUCCUUUGGCCUCGUUCGUGCAGGUGGAUUUGGUCAAUGGCGUGCGGGGGAAAUCUAGCUAGAGCUGGAGCCUGUUGUAGGUUGCUCGCCGACAAAGAGAGAAGAGGCUUCUUAUGUUGCUCGGCUAGGAGGAGAUAAGAAAAGGUUACCGUGCUGGUCCCACCGUACGGGGAAUCUUUAUGCCAAUGCUAAUUAGAUCUGAUCAUUUGUAGGGUUGAGUCGGGUUUUGGGUCAAAAAUUUUGGCCCGCGCCUAACCUGUGGUUUUAGAUCAGCUCAUAAAUAUCGGUUCGCGCCCACCCAACAUAUUGACCGGGUCAGGUUGGGUGAGGUAUUUGUUAGGAUACGAGGUAGGCUACACUAGCGCAAAUCAAAAAUUUCUACCGCGUAAAUCAGGAAAACUGCCGUAUAAGGAUCACGGGAUUACCACUCGACGCACUACUGGUGCGGAAGAUGUAGAUUCGCGUCGAUGCAGCGAAGUCGAUCAACGUAGUCGUACGUAGUCGAUCACGUCGACGUCCAGCAGCUCCUCAGUAGCUCGUCCACGUGCAGUAAGAUCACCCUCGUGCCGCGGCUCGUCGUCGGCUCAUCGUGGCUCGUCGUGGCUCGUCGUGGCUCGUCGGCGGCUCGUCCAAGUGCUGCAGGCACAACACCUCCAAGGUAUCCACACAUGAAGGGAGGAAGCGUCGCAAGCCGGACUGCUAGAUCCGUGAGUUGCAACAGGCGAGGGCGUGGGAGGCGCGGCAGAUGUGUUUCGCCAAAAGGUGUAAACCCUAGGGCGCCCCCACCCCUCUAUUUAUAGAGGUUCCUAACGGGCCUCUGGGUCCGAGGCCCAUUAGUACUUCUAAACCUAAUCCAACUCGGAUCACAUCCGAAUUGGGCUUCCAGCCCCUUAAGUGUGUGACCCUAUGGGUUCGGAUACGUAUAGACAUGGCCCGAGUACUCCUACUCGGCCCAAUAGUCGGUAGCGGCCUCUAGCAAGACAUGCCAACUCCUAUACGCACACGAAGAUCAUAUCAGACGAACCAUCACAACAUUAUGUACAUGCUAUUCCCUUUGCCUCACGAUAUUUGGUCUAGCUCCAAGCCGACCGCUCUUUCUCGAUUCUGUGACUUGGAAUCCCUUUGUAGGUUAACUCUUAACCGUACGUAGCAUGGCCAUGCAUUUUCGGAUCCGAUCACUCGAGGGGCCCAGAGAUAUCACUCUCAAUCAGAGAGGGGCAAAUCCCAUCUUGAUUGACCAUGUCUCAUAGCAUGCUUCUUGACAAACCCGAAAGCUACCUUUAUAACUACCCUGUUACGGCGUAGCGUUUGAUAGCCCCUAAGUAAGUCGAUCCACAUCUUGAGUAAAUGCGACAAUCUCAGGUCUAAGGACAAAGCGUACAUGUUGUGUAAAGAGAGAACUACUUCUCGUGUUGGGUCAGUCCUAGCACAUGUCUCCACAUGUGCCCACAUUAUUAGUUCAACAUCUCCAUGUCCAUGACUUGUGAAACAUAGUCAUCAACUAAUACAUGUGCUAGUCUAAUAUUCAUGUGUGUCCUCACAUGAAGACCGACUAGGGACAACUUUAGAAUAACCAUACAAGUAAAGAGUUUCACAUACAAUUCACAUAAUUGCAAAUCAAUUCAAGUAGCCUUUAAUGGAUAUUCAAUGAACAAAAUGUACAAAUUAUGGAUACAAAUGGAAUAUCAUCAUCUCUAUGAUUGCCUCUAGGGCAUACCUCCAACAGUUUUUUCCCAUGUGAAAGAAGAAGCUACCCGUUCCUUCAUUUGUGCCUCUUAGUGUGGGAGGACCGUAAAAUAGACCUUUUCUUCUUUACUAAAUGAAGUGCUAACUCAAUUCAUCUCAGAAGGCAUUGCGAAAGAUGCCUACGUGCUGGAUUUUGAGCCCGGUAGGGCCUACCUGCUACGGGUGAUCAAUGCUGCGCUCUACUCCGAGUACUACAUCAAGAUUGCCGGGCGCAAGUUCACCGUUGUUGCGGCCGGUGCCAACUAUGUCAGACCCUACACCACCAUGUUAGUUUGAUCUCCAACGGACUCACCCCAACGGAUGAGUCUGAGCCCUAUCUUGCACUCUGAUCAGGAGCGCACAACCAACUCAUGGUCGGUGCGCCCCCGUCGCAUAGUGCAUAUAACAGAGGUGGGGUCGGGACACGAACACCCAAGUUCGAUGUUGUGCCCACAGACCCACCGACAACCCUAAGCACUCGUUUUACUUGCGUUGUUAGCAGUGGGAAGCCACGCUGACUUGUCGCGCCGCCGCCGUUGCCCCUGUGUCAACACCACGUUCACCAACACUGCAAUGGCAACCUCCUCACCGAUGAAGCCCAACGGUCGGUCACCUCAACUCUCCCUCUCCAUUUUGCCUCUGUUUAGAUCUAAGGACCAUGAUGUUUAAUCUAAGACUAAGUUGUAGACCUAUCUAGAUCUGUCGCUAAUAAUCCUAUUAAGUUAUUUAAGAUUGCUUUCAAAAGUCAGUCAGACCUAUCUAUGGUAUCAGAGCUAGUGUUAGUGGUUAUCUAGAUUAGGGUUAGUGUAGAUUUGAAGUAAAAGAUCGUACUUGCUCCGGGAAGAAGAGAAAGGAAGAGCAAAUUAGAAAGAAUCAAAAAAAGGGAAGAGAGACGGCGACUGCCAGAUUUGACCGAUGGCCGUCGGUAGACCAAGAGGAAGGGUUUGGCAGGCGACUUACCUCACCACCCUCCACUCAUCGGAGAUCUCCAUGAAGGGCCUCCACGCCAGCGAGUUUCACCCGUGCCAUGCUAGUGUGCCGCCGCUAGGCUGCUCGACGGCGGUGCACUUAUCCAUAGGGGAGCGCGCUCGCCGGUGAGGGGGGUGGCGAUGGUGACACCAUCCUUCCACCGUGGGCCACCGAUAUGCACCACCGGAACUCGCUCUCGCUCUUGCUCUGUGUGGCAGCGUUGGAGAAACAAGGAAGGAGAGAAGAAUAAAGUUAGGGUUCGGGAGCUGGCCGGUGUGGCGAUUUUGUUCGCUCGAAAAGCGAUCGCAGCCGUCAUUCUUGAUGGACGGCCGAGCUCAUCCAGACUGAAAUAGGCCCAAGUGGGAGGCCGUUUUGGCAACCCAGGCCCAGGUUGCAGCCUGGGAGGGUGCAGCGCGUGAGCGUGGAAGGCAGCGCGGGCUAUAUUCUUGCGCGGGCCGCUGGUACAGUAAAUUUUAAGCCCCAGCUGGGCCACAGUUUUUCUUCCUCGUCCACGCGAAUUGAGCAGGUCGUUUGCUGGGCCAUUUUGUGUGCCCAGACGUGGGUCGACACGAGCUCCUGUGUGAGUCAGGCCGAAACAACAAUGAAGUUUGAGCCCGUUUUCCAUUUUUCUUGUCCAGUGACUUAAAUAAUUUUUGGAAAUUGAUUAGUGGCUCAAAUAAAAGUAGUUUUAAUGAGUUUUUCCUGUGGGUAAAUCCACAAAUUAAGUUUAAGCUUCCAUUGUAUUAAGAUUGAGUUAAGUUGAAUUUUUGGCUUUAUUUUGCAAAUUUUAUGCAUUAAGUUGAAGUUUUUAGUCUAUUUCUCUAAUUAAAUUGGAACCAACAGGAAAAUUUAAUUAGAAAAUAAGUAUUUUUAGUAUGAUAAUUUUAUCUACUGACCAACAUUGUUGAUAAAAUUGUUGUACUAUAAGUUUUGUUUUAUCAUUAUUAAUUCUAUUUCUGCCCAAUGGUGAUGUAGAAUUGAUACUGAGAAGUUCUAUGUUUUAAUUUGAUCAAUGUUGAAUUAAUUCAUUUUUUUGAAUUUUUGUUUUCAGGCAAUCCUUUGAGUUUAUCUCAUCCAUAGAGCCCUUCAAUGGAGGGAAUUAUAGCUUGUGGCGAGAGAAGGUCGAGAUAGCGAUUGCGCUGUUCAACAUUGAUCUAGCACUGACUGCUCCUUGUCCCGUAGAACCUAAGGACCCCUUGAGGGCCGAGAAUGAAGUGAAGAUGAUUUGAAUAAAAGGGUGUGUGAUCAUGCACCAAUCAGAAUGCAAUACGAUCUUGAUCGUGCGAAGUGGGACUCGUCGAACAGAAAGUGUAUGAUGGUGAUCAAGAGCUCCAUUUUGGAGGCCACAAGGGGAGCAAUCCUAGAGUGUCACACCGCUAGGAGUACCUGACAAAGGUGGAGAGUCAGUUUACUAGCUCUUCAAAGGCAUAUGGAAGCACUCUCAUAAGGAAGCUUGUCACUGUGAAGUAUACUGGCGGUGGAAUAAGGGAUCACAUAUUGAGAAUGAGCAAUAUGUCUUCCAAGCUUAAGUCUAUGGAAAUGGAGCUACCAGAAGAGUUUAUAGUCCAUCUGAUCUUUACCUCAUCGCCCAAAGAGUUUGAGACUUUUGCUGUGAUUACAACUCACAGCCAGAAAAGUGGGCUAUAGGGAAGAUGAUUGCCAUGUGUGUGCAAGAAGAAGAGAGGCUUAAGGUCUCAUCCGGUGAUACUAUCAAUUACCUGAGCCAAAACAAGAAGAGGAAUUUUUAGAAUUCUAAGCCACGAGGGAAACCUUAGUUGAAUGCCUCUUCUUCUAAGGCACAUAGAAAGGCUCCAAUGCAUGAUCACCAUCAAAGAUCAAACCAUGAAGUGGUGGUGGACAAAGACACUUGCAAGUGGUGCAAGAACAAGGGACACUACCAAAAGGAUUGUGUAGAAUUCUUGAAGCAUUUGUGCAGGAAAGGUGAGGAUCUUAUUACAUUUGUAGAUGAAUUCUUGUAUUUAACAUAUGCAAAAUCUACUUGGUGGAUUGAUUCAGGUACAACUGUUCAUGUUGCAAAUUCAUUACAGGAAUUCCAAACAAGGAGGACCCUGCAAAGAGGACCCUGCAACAAGGUGAGGAACCUGCAAAUUGCAAACGGCGUCCAAGCUAAAGUCGAAGCCAUUGGAGAACACCAAUUAGAAUUAGCAACUGGUUUUGUACUUCAUUUGAGAGAUGUUCUUUAUGUACCCUCUUUGCAUAGAAACUUAAUAAGUGUAUCGCGCUUAGAUGAUGAUGAUUUUGCUUGUCAUUUUGGUGAUGGACAAUGUAAAAUCAAGUUUAAUAAUAAGAUUGUUGGUCUUGCCUUCAGACAAGACGAGCUUUAUUUAUUAUCACUUUGUGAGAAUGUGAAUGUUGUAAGAGCUAAGAAUGAGAAUGCCUCCUCCUCUAUGAAUGUAAAGAAUAAACGGAAAAGAAUUGAUGACGUAUCUUCAAAAUUAUGGCACUUUCGUUUAGGCCAUAUUUCGAGGGGGAGAAUAGAAUGGUUAGUUAAGGAAUCAAUUCUUCUGCCUUUAGAAUUUUCAUAUUCAGAGCAAUGCAUCGAUUGCAUUAAGGGAAAGUUCGUUAAGAAAAUUAAGAAAGACUCCAAAAGAAGCACAGAAAUUUUAGAAAUAAUUCACACGGAUAUCUGUGGUCCGUUUCCUGUGACAUCUGUGGAUGGUUAUGAUUCUUUUAUAACAUUCAUAGAUGAUUAGUCUCAUUAUGGUUAUAUUUAUCCAAUUAAAUAGUGUUCAAAGUGUUGGAUAAAUUCAAGAUAUUUAAGGUUGAAGUAGAAAAUCAGCAUAGUUUAAAGAUUGAAAUAGUAAGAUCCGAUCGUGGGGGGAGUACUACGGUCACCAUACCCCAUAUGACCAAGUUCUUAAACCUUUUGUGAGGUUUCUACAGGAAAAUGGCAUAGUUGCCCAAUACUCUACAUCGGGCAAGCCUCAACAGAAUGGAGUAGCUGAAAGACGUAACGAACCUUAAUGGAUAUGGUGAGAAGCAUGAUCCUGUUGGAGGUAUGCCCUAGAGGCAAUCAUAGAGAUGAUGAUAUCCCAUUGUAUCCAUGAUUUAUAUUGUGUUCCUUGAAUAUCCAUUAAAGGCUACUUGAAUUGAUUUGCAAUUAUGUUAAUUGUGUGUGAAACUCUUGUAUGGUUAUUCUAAAAGUUGUCCAUAGUCGGAGUUCAUGUGAGGACACACAUGAAUAUUAGACUAGCACAUGUAUUAGUUGAUGACUAUGUUUCACAAGUCAUGGACAUGGAGAUGUCAAACUAAUAAUGUGGGCACAUGUAGAGACAUGUGCUAGGACUGACCCAACGCGAGUUACAUAGUUCUCUCUUUACACAACGUGUACGCUUUGUCCUUAGACCUGAGAUUGUCGCAUGUACUCAAGAUGUGGAUCGACUUACUUAGGGGCUAUCAAACACUACACCGUAACUGGGUAGUUAUAAAGGUAGCUUUCAGGUUUGUUAAGAAGCAUACUGUGAGGCAUGGUCAGUCAAGAUGGAAUUUGCCCCUGUGUAUGUGAGAGAGAUAUCUCUGGGCCCCUCGAGUAAUCGGAUCCGGAAAUGCAUGGCCAUGCUACAUGAGGUUAAGAGUUAACCUAGAGAGGGAUUUCGAAUCACAGGAUCGAGAAAGAGAGGUCGACUUGAAGCUAGACCAAAUAUCAUGAGGCAAAGCGAAUAGCAUGUAUGUGAUGUUGUGAUGGUUCGUCUGAUAUGAUCUUCGUGUGCGCAUAGGAGUUGGCACGUCCUGCUAGAGGCCUCUACUAACUAUUGGCCAAGUAGGAGUACUCGCGCCAUGUCUAUGCAUAUAUGAACCUAUAGGGUCGCACACUUAAGGGGCUAGAAGCCCAAUGAGGAUAUGAUAUGAAUUGGACCAGGUUUCAGAGUACUAAUGGGCCUUGGACCUAGAGGCCCGUCAGGGACCCUUAUAUAUUGAGGGGUGGGGGCGGCUUAGGGUUUCACCCCUUUCUAGCCGAACCUCAGCUAUGCCCCCCACACUCUCACCUUGUUGCACUCGCGGACCUAGCAGUCUGGCUUGCAACGCUUCCUCCCCGCACGUGUGGAUACCUUGGAGGUGUUGCAUCUGCAGCACUUGGAUGAGCCACCGCACGAGAGCUUGAUGAGCCAACGAGGAGCUUGAUGAGCCGCCGCGCGAAGAGGACACCGCUGCACGUGGAUGAGUUGCUAAGGAGCUGCUGGACGUGGAUGUGUUCAACUAUGCUACGACGACGUGUGAUUGCCUACACUGCCUUGACGUGCUUCAUCAACUUUCACAUCUGCGCGUCUAGUGGUAAUCCCAUGAUCCAUAUACAACAGUUUUCCUUGUUUACGUGGUAGAAAAUUUUGUUUUGCGCUAGCAUAGCCUACUUCGUAUCCCUUCAACUCCACUUUACUGGUUAGCUUGGGGAUGGAGGCGUUAAAAACCACCAUUCACAUCCUUAAUUGGGUUCCUAGUAAGUCGGUGUGUAAAACACCGUAGGAGUUGUGGACGGGACGAGAGCCCUCACUCAAUUACUUGCGUGUGUGGGGCUGUCCAGCUGAGGCUAAAGUCUUUAACCCAAACAUUGGGAAGAUCCUAAGAUAGUCAGUUGCCAUUUCAUUAGCUACCUAGAUAAGCCAAAAGGUUAUUGUCAAAAGACUGUUUUUGGAGGAUGAGAUGAUUAGGGGGAGCACGGUACCCCGAGAAAUUAACCUAGAGGAGAAACGGGUAUAUGUACCCACUCCACUGAUUCAGGACACUAUGGCUAUAGCACUUGUUAGUUCUCCUGUGACAACAAUAAAUGAAGAUGAGGAACAUGUCCUUUAAGAUCCUAUAGAACCUGUUGUCACACAUGAGGAAGAGUUGCAAAAGCCCCACAUGGAAGAUGUGCCAAAUGUUGAGGACCUCAGAAGAUCUCAAAGAGCUAGAAAGCUAGCUAUUCCUGAUGACUAUGAAGUCUAUGUCAGUCAAGAAGUUCAAAUGGAGGGAGAUCCCACCUCAUUUGAAGAAGCCGUGAGAAGUGCUCACUCAUUGAAGUAGCUUGAAGCCAUGGAAGAUGAAAUGAGAUCCAUGAGUAGUAACAAAGUCUGGGAUUUAGAAGAAAUUCCUAAAGGAGCUAAGAAAGUAGGCUGUAAAUGGGUCUACAAAAUAAAAUGUGACUCCAAAAGUAAUGUCGAACGAUAUAAAGCACAACUUGUUGCGAAAGGUUUCACACAAAGAGAAUGAAUAGACUAUAAUGAGACAUUUUCUCCAGUCUCAUGUAAGGAUUCUUUUAGAAUCAUAAUGGCUUUAGUGGCACACUAUGAUUUAGAGUUACAUCAGAUGGAUGUAAAGAUGACUUUUCUCAAUGGAGACCUGGAAGAAAACGUUUACAUGGCACAACCCAAAGGUUUUGUCAUGGAAGAGGAUGAACAUAUGGGAUGCCAUCUGAAGAAAUCCAUUUAUGGAUUAAAACAAGCUUCAGGCAAUGGUACUUGAAGUUUCAUGAGAUAAUAAGAAAGUUUGAGUUUAGUGAGAAUAAGGAGGACAAUUGCAUGUAUGCAAAUUUUGAGAAUGGGAAAUUCAUAUUCCAUAUCCUGUAUGUAGAUGACAUUCUACUUGCUAGUAGUGAUGUUAAUCUACUAUUGGAGAUGAAGAAGUUCUUGUCCUCAAACUUUGAUAUGAAAGAUCUCGAUGAAGCUUCAUUCAUUCUAGGAAUUGAAAUUCACCAAGAUAGAACAAAGGGGGUAUCAGGAUUAUCGCAAAAGGCAUACUUAGAGAAGAUUCUGAAGAAGUAUAGUAUGCAUGCAAGUAGACCUACACCUGGUCCCAUAGUCAAGGGUGAUAGAUUUGGGAAUUUUCAGACUCCCAAGAACCAAUAUGAGAUCGACCAAAUGAUAGCGAUUCCAUAUGCUUCAGCUGUCGGAAGCUUGAUGUAUGCUCAAGUGUGUAUGCACCCUGACUUAGCUUUGUUACCGGCGUACUUGCUAGAUAUCAAGAUAAUCUAGGAAUAGAUCACUGGAAAAUGGUAAAGAAGGCAUUGCGUUAUACGCAAGGCAUGAAAGGCCUCAUGUUAACGUACAAAAGAACCGAUUCCCUUGAAAUAGAAGCAUACUUAGAUUCUGACUUUGUAGGAGAUGUAGACGAUAGAAAACUGAUGUCAGGUUAUGUAUUCACUCUCUCAGGAGGAGCUAUAUUGUGGAAAAGCUCCAAGAAAACUAUCACAACAUCAUCCACAAUGUUUGCCAAGUUUGUAGCAUGCUAUGAGGCCAUGGGGCAGGCAAACUAGUUAAAGAAAUUUGUACCUAGGUUGGGAGUAGUAGACAACAUUCAAAGACCACUGAAGAUGUAAAGAAUAAGGAGUGUGUUGACGCCAGAUUUUGACACGUAUGGAAUCGGUGCAAAGAAAGGAAAGAAUCAGCUGAUGUGGCGAGGCACGGAGGUCACGAUUGGGAAUCAGCCAAUUGGUGCUAAAGUUGGAGAUCGGCCGAUUGGUGCUGCAGUGUUUCGGCGAAUGGAAUUGAUGGAAAUUGGCUGAUCGAGAGGCUGGAAUAGUUGGGCCAAUCUGGGCUCAGAGUGGAUUAUGAGGAUAAAAGGGGGUCGGCCCACAGGAACACAGCAAUCGACUCCGAUACGAGUUGACUUGUAAAUAUUCGUUUUGGUUUAAAAUUAGAGAUAGAGUCCUAGUCGGUUAAGAGAUUGGUUGUAACAGGCUAUAAAUAGCCACCUUUAUAGAUCUGUAAUCAUCAUCAAAUCAAUACAACAAUCUACUAUUUCCUCGCACUUUACUUUCGAGUAGGCGACUUCGCCAAUACUUUUCUUACUUUCACGAGUUCGUACGAGUUGGCAGGGCUACAUCAACUUGAUCCCCGGCCGAUUCUGUAAGUUCCGUUUAUCGAGUAAUGUCUAUGCUUUAACUUCGGGCGCAUCGCUGUCGUUUUGUUUAGAUUUAUUCAUCAGUUAUCGAUAUUUACUAGAAUUCUAGGUUUUACCUGUUGUUCUAGUUUUAUCACCAGUUAUCCAUCUUGGAAUUAGAGCUUUCGGCUUACUUGUAUUUUGUAGCUUAAUCUACCGCUUUUUGCAUAGCCGAUUAGAUCUGUUCCUAGUAUUGUUACUGUAGCGUUGUUUAGUUUUCUUUAGCAGUUUUCUUCACUAAUGUUACUUUGUAAUCGGCUGUGUUAUAGCCGAUUUCUUUAUUAAAGCAAAUCGGCUGAUUCGCUGAUAAGCUUCCUCGAGAUCGGAACCUUAGCCGAUCGCCACCUCUGGGAUCUGACACGUUUCUUUCCUUGCCAAUCAACAGGUCAGAUUGGCUGGCACGCCACGCGAACUGCACCAGGGCGAUCACCCGAACAGGAGUUAAGCAGAUUCUCCUGGGUCGUGUGUCCGACGCAAGAGAUUCAAUCGGCUGAUCUUUAGUGCCAACACACUUUUGGCACGCUCGGUGGGACCAAUACAACCACUACCAUAUCGAAAGCUGCCGAAAUCUCCGAAGACAACAUCAUCGAGGUGACGGAAGCAGACCUCAAGGACGACCAGAAGGAAGACUUGGAGAAGCAAAUAGCAUACUACCGGAAGACAUGCUUACAAUCCUUCAGUCGUACCAGGAGCAGGGAAACUAUUAGAAAAAGCUCCUUUUCCAACUCCCCGCCAGAUUACAAUCGCUGAGGACUUGGGCAAGAUGUUCGAGAUGGUUCAAACAUCCAUCUAUGAAGCUUUCAUUGAUCAAUCCCUAGUGCUAACUAAUACGGUAUACAAUGCCGUCAUCAGCUCCCUAGCCAACGGUGUGUCUCAAGGAUACCAGCGGCCGACAUACGCCCCACCUAUCACAGCCCCGGUCAGGAGUUCUCCAAGCAUACCCUACUCGGCUCCUCAGCCGAUCCAAGCUCAGCCCGGAGAAUCUAACACUCCUUCCCCCUCAAUACAUCUAGGACACAGCGGCGCACCAUACCUCCAGACACAAGCGCCGUCUCAGCCUGGUCAAUUUUCCUCCGCGCAAUCAUCUUCAUUGAAUUCAGUACCUUGGGGGGCACCAUCAGCGAUAGCUGUCCAAGAUCAAUCGGGCGGCUAUGGAGGCUCCCCAACCUAGGCACCCUUCCAAUCGGCCGUGCGGCCAACAGCGCCACAGUAUCAACCAGCCGCACCGGAGAUGGGCAGGGGAGCAGCAGCAGCAGAAGCACUUCGGGGCAUGGUACUGAUUGUACUAUAUGAUGACAUGGCCAGUUCACAGAGACAACAGAUGCUGACCACUCAGCCGACCACGUCACUGCAGAUGCCGCACGCCUUCGUCCACCACCCGGUCAUCCCUCCAUCGAUCUACCAACACGUGCCGGUUCCUCAGCCAAUAGUCCAUCAACAACAAGCAGACUGGACGGCACGAAUCGCGGAGGUGAUUCAAGAUCAAUUUGGUUUAAAGCCAAAGGUACAAACCUACACAUAUAGGGCGCCGUAUCCGCCUGCCUACGACUUACUACUGUUUCCCCAUCGGUACAAAGUUCCCGAUUUCACCAAGUUUUCGGGGCUGGAUGAUACCUCAAUUGUGGAGCACGUAAACAGAUUCAUCAUCCAAUGUGGGGAGGCAGCUACACAAGAUGCUCUACGGGUGCGUCUCUUCUCAUCGUCUCUGUCCGGGUCGGCCUUCCAAUGGUUUACUACACUAGCACCCAACUCCAUAGUUACUUGGGCCGACUUGGAGAAGCAGUUCCACAAAUACUUCUACGUGGGAGUACAUGAGAUGAAACUCUCAGAUCUGACCAGCCUCAGGCAAAGGAGUGAUGAGCCGGUGUCUAUGUACGUGCAGAGGUUCAGAGAAAUCAGGACAAAUGCUACACCCUAGUUCUCACCGACGCACAGUUGGCCGAUAUAGCCUUCCAGGGUCUCCUGCCUCACAUCAAAGAAAAAUAUGCUUUGCAGGAGUUCAAAAGCCUGAGUCAAAUCGUACAUCGACCGUUUGGUCAGGAGACACGCCCCUUUGAUCCACGGAGGAAUUUCCAGAAUAAGGUGGUAUAUUUAGAAGGAUCUGAAUCCGAAGAAGAAGUAGAAAUUGGCCUGGCAGAGUGGGUUAAUGGGAAGAAGCCGAUAUCGUGUCCUUUCGGGAAAAAGGAACCAGAAGCAUUCAGUUUCGACACGUCAAAGGCCGAUAAAAUUUUCGAUCUAGUCCUCCAAGAAGGACAAAUCAAGCUCUCACCCUACCAUAUGAUCCCAUCGGCCGAGCAACUAAAGAAGAUGAAGUAUUGCAAAUGGCAUAACGCUACAUCUCAUGACACGAACGAGUGCAAAAUUUUCCGACAGCAAAUACAAUCGGCCAUUGAGCAAGGCCGGCUCAAGUUCGAGGUCCCGACGAAGCCGACAAAGCCGAUGAAGAUUGAUCAGCAUCCCUUCCCCACCAAUAUGGUCGAUACGGGAAGAAACGCGCUCCAGACCAAGGUGCUGACGUCAGAAUCGGCUAAAAAGAACGGCACCGCGGACCCCAGAAAUCAAACCACGACUGAAGAUGUCAAAGGGAAGAGACGGAUGGAUGAUGAAGGCGAAGGAUCUGGAGAACCACACAGGCCCAUCACUUCCCAGUUUUUGCUCAACAAAUAUCAACGGCAACAAGAAAGUUCAAGAGUUCGGGAGGAGAUGAUGCGACGACACGAGGACCACUGGCGAUGCCCGUUCUUCAUCCACUGCUGGGAAAGUAACCUUAGGUUGCCGUCGGCCGACAACUGCCCGGAAUGCAACGGCCCAUAUCACAACAAUCGCACAUUCAGGAGAUCUCGCUCCAGGGAUGGAAGGCCAGAGCCGAUUAGCAGAAACUGGCGCGAGCAAGAAGAUCGGCACCUUUCGGUGCGUGAUAGGCUGGGGGCCAGGACCGAUCAACAUGACCGACCAAAUGGCAGAGUCAGCGCACACAAUCGGCUGGAGGAGAUGGCCGAUGCUCGAGUAUUAGACAAAAAUCCCUUGGGAUGGGGACCAGAAUGGGAACGUGUCAGACCAUCGGCUAAACCAGUAAACCCUAGGUGGUGCCCUGACGAAUUGACCAAAUCCUAAAAAAGAAGAAUCCAGCAUCUUCACCAAUGGGAACAACAGGAAGAAGAGCAACAACAGAUGAUGGACAAGAAGAACAACAGACCUCGAGUUUGGCGCCCAAAAGAAACGACAAGGGGGACGAUGACAACCAGGAAUCGGCAGCCGAUAUCGGCAUGGUUUUCAUUCUGCCGAUGGAAUUCAUGGCUCCCGCAGACCGACAUAACAUGUCGACAUUAGAAGAGCAGAUGGCGCAAUUGGCUCUGGAGCCAAUGACAACCAUGUUCGAGAAACCCGAAGAUGACAAACGGCAACACCUCAAGGCAUUAUUCCUCAAAGGACAUGUCGACGGCCGACCCGUCACCAGGCUUCUAAUAGAUGGAGGCGCUACAGUCAACAUCAUGCCGUACGCCAUGUUCCGAAAGUUGGGAAAAAGCGACGAUGAUUUGACCAAAAUGGACAUGAUGCUCAAGGACUUCGAAGGCAACGUGUCUCCCGCCCGCGGCGCGCUUUGCGUCGACCUCACCAUCGGCAGUAAGACUCUUCCCACCACUUUCUUUAUUAUUAAUGGCAAAGGGUCCUACAACAUGUUACUCGGUCGAGAUUGGAUACAUGCAAAUUGCUGCAUCCCGUCUACAAUGCACCAAUGCCUCGUACAAUGGGUUGGCGACAACAUCGAAAUAGUCACCGCCGAUUCCGCGUAUAGCGACAUGGCAGCCGAUACAUAGCAGUGGAGCUGCGAUCACGUCAAGUGCAUAUCUGGGAGGACGUGGGACACCGAUUUCCUGAAGGUGUCCGAUUUUGGUCUACAGCCGAUCCGAGCAGUCGGCUCUGAAAUUCAGAUUAAAUGGAUCAGUUCACCCCGAGAAGACGGGAAGCUGGGGCACGGUUUUACGUCGGCCGAUUCACUAGAGAUGAUAGAUUUAGGCGAUGGCACCAAGCCAAGGCCGACGUACAUUAGUGCUAAUUUAGACCUGGAGUACAAAUGUAAAUUGACAAACCUAUUGAAAGAAUUUAAAGGUUGCUAUCAAUAAAGUUGUAGCCCCAAAGAAUAGAACUGAAUUGCAAUCCUUGAUCGGCAAGGUCAAUUUCAUCAGAAGAUUCAUAUCCAACCUGUCCGGAUGCAUCCAAGCCUUCACACCGUUAUUGAAAUUAAAACCCGACCAAGAGUUCGUAUGGGGAGAAGAGCAACGCAAGGCACUAGAAGACAUCAAGCAGUACUUGGUCUCGCCACCAGUGUUGGUCCCACCACAAACUGGCAAGUCAUUCAAGCUAUAUUUAUCGACCGAUGAGCGAGCUAUCGGGUCAGCGCUGGUCCAGGAGUUUGAAGGAAAGGAAUGGGUAAUAUAUUAUGUUAGUAGAAGACUUCUGGACGUUGAAACAAGAUAUCCCCCGGUAGAGCGGCUAUGCGUAUGUCUUUACUUCUCAUGCACCAAACUCAGGCACUACUUAAUAUCGGCAGAAUGUGUAGUCGUAUGCAAAGACGACGUAGUAAAAUACAUGCUGUCAUUGCCGAUUUUGAAAGGGCGGAUCGGAAAAUGGAUUUUGGCUUUAUCGGAGUUCGAUCUACGAUACGAAUCAGCAAAAGCCAUCAAAGGUUAGGUCAUGGCCGAUUUCAUCGCCCAGCACUGCGGACCAGAAGUCGCCAUCGUAGAAACAACGCUGUGGACCUUAUAUUUUGAUGGCUCAUCAUGUGGGGCCGGAUCGGGAAUCGGCAUCGUUCUCAUAUCGCCUCGGGGGGCAAGUUAUGAUUUCUCUCUGCUGAUAGAGGCAUCUGCUACCAAUAACCAGGCGGAAUACCAGGCCAUCCUGAAAGGGUUACAAUUGUUGAGAGAGAUUAAGGCCGAUUCCGUUGAAAUUUUCAGAGAUUCCAUGCUCAUUGUGGACCAAUUGACAGGAAGAUCCGAGUGCAAAGAUGAUGUGUUAAGGAUUUAUUAUGAAGAUUGCCUCCAACUUCUAAAAGUAUUCAAAUCCGCGGUUAUUGAGCAUAUCCCCAGGAAUUAUAAUGGAGAGGCCAACAGGCUUGCCCAGCACGUGUCCGGGUAUCGAACGAUUCAAGGCGCCAUAAUUCUGGAACUCGCGGCCAACAACUAGCGAAUAGAAAUUGCCGAUUAUUUAAAAGACCUGUCCAGGAAAGUGGAUCGGCGAGUGCAUUUUCAAGCUACAAAGUAUGUGUUACUGGAAGAUGAUCUAUUCUACCGGACGAUUGAUGGUGUUCUGCUCAAGUGCUUGGGGACGGAGGAGGCAAAAAUCUUGAUGGGAGAAAUUCACGAAGGCGUGUGCGGAGCUCACCAAUCGGCGCAUAAAAUGAAGUGGAUGAUUAGGAAUAAUGGAUAUUAUUGGCCGACGAUCCUUGAGGACUAUUUCAAAUAUUAUAAAGGAUGUCAAGAUUGUCAGAAAUAUGGGAACGUGCAGCGUGCACCCGCAUCGGCCAUGAAUCCAAUCAUCAAGCCAUGGCCGUUCAGAGGUUGGGGAAUAGACCUCAUUGGACAAAUUUAUCCUCCGUCGAGUAAAGGACAUAAAUUCAUUCUGGUAGCUACGGACUAUUUCACCAAAUGGGUGGAGGCGAUUUUGUUAAAGGCCGUAACAUCGGCCGCUAUGGUAGAUUUCGUAAGGGACCAUAUUGUCUAUCAUUUCGGUAUCCCUCAGACCAUCACAACCGAUCAAGGAACGAUGUUCACAUCAGGAGAAUUCGAAGAGUUCACGUCUGAUAUGGGGAUCAAGCUGCUAAACUCCUCCCCAUAUUAUGCUCAGGCUAACGGCCAGGUCGAAUCUUCCAAUAAGGGGAUAAUUAAGUUGAUCAAGAGAAAAAUUGAGGAACAACCCAAAAAGUGGCACUUAUGUCUAACCGAAGCUCUAUGGGCAUACAGGAUGGCUUGCCACGGGGCUACCAAGGUAUCUCCUUAUCAACUGGUGUACGGUCAUGAUGCAGUAUUGCCAUGGGAGUUGAGAACGGGUUCAAGACGUACAUCGCUUCAAGAUCAGCUGACGGCCGAUGACUACUCCUCGCUCAUGAAAAGAGAACUCGACGAUUUGGCGGGUCAACGAUUGAGGGCCUUGAUUAGCAUUGAGGAAAACAAAAAGAAAGUAGCCAGGUGGUAUGACAAGAAAGUCAAAGUCAAGCAGUUCUCCCAAGGGGAUUUGGUAUGGAAGUUGGUGCUGCUGAUUGGAUCCAAAGACCCUAAAUUCCGUAAAUGGUCUCCCACUUCGGAAGGGCCAUAUAGAAUCGGCUGGUGUACCUCGGGAAAUGCUUACAUUCUGGAAACGAUCGAAGGGGAAGAAUUUACUAGGGCCUUAAACGGGAGGUACUUGAAAAGGUAUUACCCAGUAUAUGGGUUGGUGCACAAAAAAUGAUUACGGGACAUGACAAGACGGAAUGGUCGCUGCCUGGAUGAUCAUGCAGCCGAUACAAAAAAAGGAAUCGCCUAAAGGAGGAAAGAGUAAUCGUUCAAGUUGGCCGAUUUAUCAUUCGGUACGGACGAUAAGUUACACGGCCGACGCGGCAUAAGUCACCCUUAGUACAAAAAAUAUUUAACUAUGCUUCUUCUUAAACUCUUCCUCGAUCUGAUCUAAUUCCAUCAGAAGACAGGCACUCUGUUCUUCCACAUCCUUCAUUGCAGCCUCCGCCUCAACCUGGUGAGGAAGGGGAUGGCUCCGAUCUAGCACCGGGCGAGAUGUCCCCGCCGUGGCAUCUUCAAGGACAACCGGACGAGGGAGUGGAUGGCUCCUGUCAACUUGCGGUCGCCUGUAACCGUUGCCGUCAAUGAAAUCCCAGAUCCGUUGGACGUCGGCGGGAACGUGAUCUCUGAGUUCUUCACGGUGUGCCUUGAUCAAGUCACUAUCCUCUUGCGACAAUGGCUCGUCGGAGUGCAUGAGUUCGAUCGCCCGUUCGAGUUCGGGGCUAAGGCGUCUUGGCUGAAAAGGGGUUAACAUAUAACAACCUAAAAGUUAGGACGGUUUAUGGGAAUCAAGCUGAAAAGAAGGAGCGGAGAUGGAUCUCGUACCUGGUUGAUGGAAGAAGAGGAGAAAGAAGAAGAUGAAAAAGACUUGCCUACAAAUGUUCCGAUGAAAAAGUAAUUAGGGAAAGAGGAAUCGAGUGGGGCAAGUACUCUUGAGAGCGAAAUCAGGGCCGGUAUUUAUAAGAAGAGAAAUGGCAGAGGUUUGGUAAGACGCGUCCCGUCAGAAUAAAAGGGUAAUAAAUAAAAGGGCGCCGUGAAGGAUGGUCAAAAGGUAUUAAUGUUCUUACAAAACGGCCAGUACUUUUAUAGAUCAUCCCAGAAGGGCAUUAAUGGCCACGAUCGCUCGUCGCCUGAUCUGAUCGGCCGAGUCUAAGACUCGCUGGUCAUCCUCCGCCGACCCCGGGACUUCUGGCAUGUGACGAUGAAGUCUGAGGGCCUCGUGGGCCAGAUGCUGGCUCUCCUGCUUCAAAUCGGUGAUAACGGAGGGGAGUUCCUGAAGCUUCUUCUCUUCAAUGGCCAUCUCUUUGGUUACUUGCUCCAUCUCCUUGGCGAGUUCUGCCCUUCGGCGCUUGAGGCGAUCUAUCGUGCUGACGAUUUCGGGACGGGAGUUCUUGAGGAAGUGGAUCCAAUGGUGUACCUCUUGGGCCCGAUGCUUGUACGAGUCCUCCUCCUCACGAGUCUUGGCCAGCUUGGCACGAUCGGCCAUGUGACGCAGAGCCCUAAAGACCGGGAUCCGCAUCGAUUCAAUAUAUGCGGCGGGUGCCAAGGCUUCUUCGGCUUCUUUUGGGACUCGGCCGCUAACAUCACCAAAGAGCUGCCGAAUCAGCAAGGCGUCCUCUACCAAUCAGCCGAUGUCUUCUUGGAGAAGGGUCCGCAUACUUUCAAGCUUGGCACGGACAUCGUCGAGUACUGAGCUCAAGGUGACUUGACGAGAGGCGACUUCUUCGUCAUCAGAGAGUGCAACCGCAAAUGAGAAGAGGCUAUUAUUGGGAGUGCCCUGUUCCUGUGAGAAUAUAAAUAAAAGAAAAAAUAAGUCAGCUGAUGGUGGCGACGAAUCGGCCAGUUCGGGUAUUAAGACUUCUUACUUCCUUGAAACGGAUCUCUUCCAUUUGCGUCUGAGGAAUCAUUACCCUCGGCUCGGGGGGUGGCGCGAUGGGCUCGUCAGAAGAGGAGGAUUCAACAAUGAUCGGCAUCCUGCUUGGGCUGGCUCCUUGAGGGACUUCUCUGACAGGCGGCUGUUCAGGGAACAUAGCUAAUGUGCCGAUGACCUGCGUCAAGAUUGGUAAGGUUAUCAUUUAGAUGUUAAAACAUUAAGUUGAGAGGACCCUGUACCUCAGCGAGAGGGAGUAUUGGUACUUCAAUUUUUGCUUGGGGCACCGGUGAUUGCUGUGGACCCACCUGAGCGGUUUGUGCAGCCUGGUAUAAGGAGAAGUCAGUAUUAAAGUAACAACCAGGGGCAAGUUAAUGGUGAGUUUACCUGAAUGGCUUCUACCAACAAUGACGCGGCAGCCGCUCCAGCUUCUGUAGCAGCUUGGAGGUCGGCUUCUUCAGCAACCGGAAGGGUCGGUGCAGCCAAAGUUUCCACCGAUGCAGCUGCAGGUGGAUCGGCCGAUUCUGUGCGGGCUCGCACCUGGCGACUAGUUUUCUUGAUGAUCUUCUUCUGCGCUUGCAUCACCCAGCCAGCUAUGUCAUCAACGGAGGGGGCGUGAUAGCCGAUGAGGGGGAAUUCCGUGUAUGGAUAACGGUCCUCUAUCGGCCGACCGUUCCGACUGCGUUUUGGGGGAGCGCGACUCUCAGACUGAAAAAAUAAUAAGAGUCAGUGGUAUAUAUAAAGAGGGAGUUGAAAAUCGGCUAAAACGAGAGCAAUACCUCGGCAUUCAGGUUGAUGUUGUUGGAGUCCAGGAGGUUGCAAUAUAUCGCCGCAGAGGCGUAGAAUAGAUGUUUCCAUUCUGCCCACCAUAGCUUGAACUGCUGAACGGCGAAAGGGGCCACUAUCCAAUUGGUCAGGUCUAUGGUGCUAGAGUCUGGGAUCCGAUCAUACAACCGACUAUAGUCGAGACCUUUGGUGAGCUCGUCUCGAAAUUUUGCUCGGCCGGUGAAGUAUGCAUAAAUCAGCAAUUGACCCAAGCCGAAUUGUCGUGCUGUGACAGAAGGGUUGUAAAACUCAUAAGUGGGGGCGUGCUUCCCCAAAAAGAAAUUCGCCGGCAGGAUCCUCGACUUGAUCAACUCAUCUGUGAGGUCCUCAUCAAAUUUGUUGGUGGCCGAGUCGAAGCAAGAGCGGAGUUCAAAGAGUGGUUCCUCCCUUUGAUAAGGGAACCAACUGGUUGCGUCUUCACUGAAGCCAUUGUAAAAGCAUCUAAAAUACUCGGCUACCUUGGUGGCAGAAUAUGGGCAACCAGAGAAGGCUAAUGCUGCUUCGCCAAAGGAAGUGCACCGGCGCCGUACAGUGGGGUUCUUUGCCAAUUCGAUGUUGGGGAAUGUCAUGUACUCCACUCGCUGCUGGGAGAUCUUGCUCAUGUACAGAUUAAGCCACAAGUUGAUGAACCACCAGGGUCCACCUGGGUUUCCAAUCGGCUCUUCUUUGGAUAGCUUGACGUCGAUCUGGUGCAAUGUAUGAUAGACCGAUCCCAAUAGAUGCUUUCCAAGAGGAACAGAAGCCCCUAUCAAUAGCGCUUCAGCCAGAGCCUGUGUGUUAGUGGAUGGACCAGCUGCCCUCCCACAAAAAAGGUGCUUCUCCAGCCACAUCAUCAGGAAGGCCGCAUGCUCCCUUUCUGCGACUGUCCCGGUCCUCCUGUUGCACUUGAUGAAUCCUUUCCACUCGCCGAUUCCUUUUGUCUCCAGCCGAUGGGAUGUUUUGGCUAGGUAAUAGAAAGGAGUAUCAGGGGAGGAGAUGUCAAGGCCGGUCAACAUGACCACAUUGGCCAAGGUGGGAGUCAUAGGCCCAUGUCCGAAGAGAAAUGUGUUGAGAGCGUCGGACCAAAAGUAGGAAGCUGCUAUCACUAAAGGUUCAUUCCUUUCCAUUUGGGACAAAGACAAAUCGAUGCACUGGCCGAUUUUGUGCUCGUCCCAUUGAACUCUUUUGGAGGCGGCUAUCCGUUGGUACCAUUCCCUCCAGCCGGGGGUUUCAUUCGGCCAUGAUCUGAAAGUGCCUGACCAGUGGUCUAGGUCCAUGGUUGAUUGCUUAAAUGGAAUUCUAUGGGUUUCCAAAUUGAUCAAGUCAGUUGGAUCUGGGUUUCCCAUGGGACCAAGGCAAAUAAGACCAGGAGUUUCGGUAAGACGAAUGGUAAUCCGGUGUCUAACCGCCUAAAAAAGGGAAAAAGGGGCAGAAGUAAGAACGGAUCUAAGGUAAAUGCAUUGGUAUUAAAGGAAGAAAAGUUUCGGUAAAAACCUCCGGUAUGAAGCUCAUCGUGGUUGACGGGAUCGUCGGCAGAGCUACGGGUGCUGAAGCUGUCGGUGGGGCCUCCGUCGUUGAUGAAGCCCUCGCUCCCGCCGAUGGAGCUCCCGCUCCCGCCGAUGGAGCUGCCGCCAUUGCUGCUGGAGCCGCCGUUGGUGGAGCCGUCUCCGGGACUUCGGAUGUUGGUGAAGUACCUGAGGUUGUCGCCAUCAUGUUGGAGGUAUGCCCUAGAGGCAAUCAUAGAGAUGAUGAUAUUCCAUUUGUAUCCAUGAUUUCUAUUGUGUUCAUUGAAUAUCCAUUAAAGGCUACUUGAAUUGAUUUGCAAUUAUGUGAAUUGUAUGUGAAACUCUUUACUUGUAUGGUUAUUCUAAAAUUGUCCCUAGUCGGAGUUCAUGUGAGGACACACAUGAAUAUUAGACUAGCACAUGUAUUAGUUGAUGACUAUGUUUCACAAGUCAUGGACAUGGAGAUGUUGAACUAAUAAUGUGGGCACAUGUGGAGACAUGUGCUAGGACUGACCCAACACGGGAAGUAGUUCUCUCUUUACAUAACAUAUACGCUUUGUCCUUAGACUUGAGAUUGUCGCAUGUACUGAAGAUGUCGAUCGACUUACUUAAGGGCUAUCAAACGCUACGCCGUAACAGGGUAGUUAUAAAGGUAGCUUUAGGGUUUGUCAAGAAGCAUGCUAUGAGACAUGGUCAAUCAAGAUGGGAUUUGCCCCUCUCUGAUUGAGAGUGAUAUCUCUGGGCCCCUCGAGUGAUCGGAUCCGAAAAUGCAUGGCCAUGCUACGUACGGUUAAGAGUUAACCUACAAAGGGAUUCCGAAUCAUAGGAUUGAGAAAGAGCGGUCGGCUUGAAGCUAGACCAAAUAUCGUGAGGCAAAGGGAAUAGCAUGUAUAUAAUGUUGUGAUGGUUCGUCUAAUAUGAUCUUCAUAUGCGUAUAGGAGUUGGCACGUCUUGUUAGAGGCCGCUGACGGCUAUUGGGCCGAGUAGGAUUACGCGGGCCAUGUCUAUACGUAACCGAACCCAUAGGGUCACACACUUAAGGGGCUGGAAGCCCAAUUUGGAUGUGAUCCGAGUUGGAUUAGGUUUAGAAGUACUAAUGGGCCUCGGACCCAAAGGCCCGUUAGGAACCUCUAUAAAUAGAGGGGUGGGGCGCCCUAGGGUUUACACCUUUUUGGCGAAACACAUCUGCCGCGCCUCCCACGCCCUCGCCUGUUGGAACUCACGGAUCUAGCAGUCCGGCUUGUGACACUUUCUCCCUGCAUGUGUGGAUACCUUGGAGGUGUUGCGCCUGCAGCACUUGGACGAGCUGCCGACGAGCCACAACGAGCCGCCGACGAGCUGCGGCACGAGGGCGAUCCUGCUGUGCGUGGACGAGCUGCUGAGGAGCUGCUGGACGUCAACGUGAUCGACUACGUAUGACUACGCUGAUCAACUUUGCUGCAUCGACGCGAAUCUACAUCUUCCGCACCAGUGCGUCGAGUGGUAAUCCCGUGAUCCUUAUACGGCAGUUUUCCUAGUUUACGAGGUAGAAAAUUUUGAUUUGCGCUAGUGUAGCCUACCUCAUAUCCCAACAGUGGUAUCAGAGUCGUAGCUGUUUAGUUUUGGAUUCGAGAUGUGUGCAUAUGGAGAUAUGCGAGUUUUCAAUUUGAUCUAUAUCCUGGUUUCGUGUUCUUGCUGCAAUGGUAGUGUAACGACAUACUCCUACCGGUCAGGUUUCUGCCAUCGGAGUUAAGUGAUACACGUAAUUCCAGUUCCAGUGAGCGAAGAUCAAUGUGAUUGGUCGAAUCGAAAUCCGGGUUCAUACGCCAGGCGCAUGAGAUGUGCAAUAGUAGAUGGGAUCUACUACCGGGGUCGGGAUUUUGCCGUGUGCGUAUGCUUCGGUAAAUCAGCCGUAACUUUUCGGUACGAUCUCGGAUCGGGGCGAAUUUUAUAUGAAAAUUGAUCUACAGAAAAAGUUACACAUGAAUUCAACCGCUUCGCCGUUUUUGGCAACAUUAGAUUUCCCAAAUUCGGCUUGGAAGAUGGAGUUUCAGGCCUCCGAAGUUUGGAAUGUUAGGACGCUUAACUUUGUUUUGCAGGAUGUAUGUAUCUUGUGAUCAGUAUGGCUCCUUUGUGUGUGUGAUGCAUGAGUGUAACUCAUUUGUGACCUGCGUGUCGCGCGUACGGCAACACGGCAGGAGCCAUAUAUAUUGUCACUUUAAUGUAUUUAAUGGUCUGCGUACCAAUCUAUGAUGAUCCAAGCAACUAUGUAAUCUUCAUUACUAGCCUUUUACUAGCUAUUAGGCGUAAUAGUAUGUUCUAAUUAUUGGAGGACUCAUCACCAGGAGGAUGGCGCACAUGGAACAUGGAGAUGGAGAUCACCAUGGUGAACAGGUUCUAUGGAGAUGGAGAUCACCAUAAGAAAAUGGGCUAUACUGUGUCACAAUUGUGUGAAUGCUAUUCUAUUUAUGUUUUACUUUCCGCAUGUUGUGAUGUUAGAAGUAGAACGAUCCCUCACAAAGUUUAAGUUAGUAUGCCCUCCCAACUAAAACUUGCACCGUCCCAUGUCUUGUACAAUUAGUGGUGGGUCUAUGAAAUUAGGGUGCCACUAGUUUUCCUUGAUUAGACGGAUUUGUGUCGGACACUUACACGCAUAAGGGUUGGUUUGCUUAACAAGGUUAACUUAACGGCUAAGAACCUUGGGGCAUAAAGGUUGGGCGCCGAGACAUGGAGAUGUCACCCAACAACAUGAGUCAUAUGUGAUAUGAUUAGCAAAAGUUGCUUACCGAUCUACCUUGUUUGCUAGCGGUGAUGCUAAAGCUUACUAGUAGACUUGUUAGUUGUGGAUCCUGAAUCACUAAGUAUCAAUAGAGGGAUAUUGAUUUUAGUGGGACUAGAUUCUGUUAAAAUAGUUUAAUGUGAUUUGCUCUAUCAUGGAUACGUUUGUCUUAGUGUAUUUUGCAUUACUUUUGUUGUAGAUUAAAUGGCACAUAGCAGCACUACACCGUUUGCUUUGCGUUCGGUCCUUGAGAAGGACAAGUUGAAUGGAACAAAUUACUCGGAUUGGAUCCGUAACCUGAGAAUUGUUCUGAGGGCUGAGAAAAAGGAAGAUGUUCUAAACAACCCACUACCAGAAGAACCUGCUGAUGAUGCACCUGCUGCUGCUAAGAAGAACGUGUCGAUACCUUGGAGGUGUUGCGCCUGCAGCACUUGGACGAGCCGUCGACGAGCCACAACGAGCCGCCGAUGAGCCGACGACGAGCCGCGGCACGAGGGUGAUCUUGUUGCGCGUGGACGAGCUGCUGAGGAGCUGCUGGACGUCGACGUGAUCGACUACGUACGACUACGCUGAUCGACUUUGCUGCAUCGACGCGAAUCUACAUCUUCCGCACCAGUGCGUCGAGUGGUAAUCCUGUGAUCCUUAUACGACAGUUUUCCUAGUUUACGCGGUAGAAAAUUUUGAUUUGCGCUAGUGUAGCCUACCUCGUAUCCCAACACAUCGGGGAGGUGGGACGGAAUGUAGAUGGAAGAAGACGCCGGAGGGAAAGAUUGGAAGCUAGGGAGACGCCGGAGGAAGAAGGAGAUUAGUGCGCCAAAGAAGGAAAACGUGAGCUCGUGAAAAGGAGUACGGGACGUGCUGAUAUUUAAGGAUGGUAUGAGAAGGGGUAAAAGCGGGAUUUUUACCGUGCCGUCGGUUCAAUUUUUUCAGGAGGAGUGGUUGUCGUGGGCGUCCGUUUCGAAAAGAUUGCAAUCAUCAGGCAGAAGACCGCGAAACGGAAGGGUAUUUUCAAUGCGUUUGUUUCGGAAUGGAAGUUGAAAGGAAUUUCGAUUAUGUUUUACUCCGAAACUGGGGGGCAUGUGUUGAUGCCAGAUUUUGACACGUAUGGAAUCGGCGCCAAGAAGGGAAAGAAUCAGCUGAUGCGGCGAGGCACGGAGGUCACGAUUGGGAAUCGGCCGAUAAGUGCUACAGUUGAGGAUCGGCCGAUUGGUGCUACAGUGUUUCGGCGAAUAGAAUUGAUGGAAAUCGGCCGAUCAAGAGGCUGGAAUAGUUGGACCAAUAUGGGCUCAGAGUGGAUUAUGAGGAUAAAAGGGGGUCGGUCCACAGGAACACAGCAAUCGACUCCGAUACGAUUCGUACUUGUAAAUAUUCAUUUUUGUUUAAAAUUAGAGAUAGAGUCCUAGUUGGUUAAGAGAUUGGUUGUAACAGGCUAUAAAUAGCCGCCUUUAUAGAUCUGUAAUCAUCAUCAAAUCAAUACAACAAUCUACUAUUUCCUCGCACUUUACUUUCGAGCAGGCGACUUCGCCAAUACUUUUCUUACUUUCACGAGUUCGUACGAGUUGGCAGGGCUGCAUCAACUUGAUCCCCGACCGAUUCUGUAAGUUCCGUUUAUCGAGUAAUGUCUAAGCUUUAACUUCGGGCGCAUCGCUGUCGUUUCGUUUAGAUUUAUUCAUCGGUUAUCGAUAUUUACUAGAAUUCUAGGUUUUACCUAUUGUUCUAGUUUUAUCACCAGUUAUCCAGCUUGGAAUUAGAGCUUUCAGCAUACUUGUAUUUUGUUGCUUAAUCUACCGCUUUUUGCAUAGCUGAUUAGAUCUGUUCCUAGUGUUGUUACUGUAGCGUUGUUUAGUUUACUCUAGCAGUUUUCUUUACUAACGUUACUUGGUAAUUGGCUGUGUUAUAGCCGAUUUCUUUAUUACAGCAAAUCAGACGAUUCACUGAUAAGCUUCCUCGAGAUCGGAACCUUAGCCGAUCGCUACCUCUAGGAUCUGACACGUUUUUUUCCUUGCCAAUCAACAGGUCAGAUUGGCGGGCACGCCGCGCGAACUGCACCAGGGUGAUCACCCGAACAGGAGUUAAGCAGAUUCUCCUGGGUCGUGUGUCUGAUGCAAGAGAUUCAAUCGGCUGAUCUUUAGCGGCCCAUGAUUUUAGGCUCCUUAGGGGGUCAUACAUAUAUUGAGGAGCCUUGGGUUCUGCUCUACCUUCCUUUGCAUGAGUCCGUUAGGCUCGAUUCCUUCGAGCUUUUGUGCUUGUAGGUGGGCCUUGUGCAAAUCAUUCCGUUUUGCCCGCAUUUCCUAUUAUUUUUUAAUAUGAUUCUAAUUACGAGACACAUUUCAGUAUCUGGUUAUUUCAAAUGUCAAGUGACGAGUUCGUAUAAGAAUAUGUAUAAAAACACUAUUAAAACAUUAUGAGAAAGGUGUCUAUAGUGAUGGUGAAAAAAGCCCUGUAACCACUUUCAUUUUAAUUUUGUAUUCGGGAAUAGGAAUGAAAUUGGGAAACUGUAAUUUGAUAUACCGGAUGGAAACAUGUCGAUAAUGGUAGGAAACCGAUAACAAAAAUAGGGAACACAGACACACAAUGACUUUAAACACUGAUCUAAUGCAAUGGAUACAACUAAUGGUGAUAGAACCGCAGAUAGCACCACAAAACAAGGGGCUGAUUAGAUGUCGCUAAUGGUGAUAGAAUGAACAAGCGUUACCAGAAGUUUUAUCGCAGCCCUGAACUACGUCUUCCAAUGACCACAAGCAUGAGAUACUAAGAUUAUGAUAUUUGAUGAAAAUUUGUUGCUUCUGAUAUUUGAUGAAAUAUUUUCAUAAUAUAGAAUGGAGUUUGGUAAAUAUGAUACAAACUUGGCAUGUAGAGUUUCCAACAUGUGUUUUGGAAGUUUGUCUAAAUUUAGAGCAAAUUUCUACGCGAUUCUCAAGUUAGGGAUGUACAUAGAAAGUUUUGUGGUUGUGAUUUUUAAAUUCCUAAGACAAUGAUAGUAAACUUUAACCCAUUUUAGUUUAGGAUCUUUAAUUUGAAUUUUGUUAAUUUGCAAGUUGGAUGGACUGUAUAAAAUAUAGCUCGCUUUGUGUGCAUUAAAUGGUUACAGGCCAGGCUGCUCCCUUCAGUGCCUAGGGCUCUAAACCGCUUCAUUCAAUGUUCAAAGUCAAAGGUUCCAUUGCGGGGUUAUCACGUGGUGAAACAAAGAGACCACGAGGCAAGUGUGGUAAAAGAGAAUUAUCUUUGGACAUGUUUACAAGAGAGAAAGAUAUAAAAUCAUGAGUCUCAGAUCGGCAAUCUUAUUCUUGGUCAAGGCAGCCACUUGCCCUUAAAAAAAAAAGGCAGCAUCGUGCACUGCGGAUCGCUUAGUUGCUCAAGAUCGUCAUAUAUAUACUGAUACCUAGAAGUACACUGCGGAUCGGAGCAAAAUUAAACCGGACAAACCUGCAAACUGCGAAAAGUGCAAGCGUCCAUCCCUAUGGCUGCCACCGCUGCCAUCAUCUUCUUCCUCUCCGCCAUGGCCAUCUCUGUCCGCGCAGCUGUUGUGGAGCACACCUUCGUUGUAAAUAAGCAUCAUGCCCUUCCCUGUUUUUUAUCUAUCAAUUUGAACAACGCAAUGAUGAUGUAUGUAUACAUAUAGAUAUGCAAGCUUGAUUUGUUUGAACAUGCAAAUGUAGGUGAGCCAGGUGAAUAUGACACACUUGUGCAAGGAGACGCUUGUCACCGUGGUGAAUGGGCAGCUCCCAGGACCUGCAAUAGAGGUGACGGAAGGAGACUCGGUGGCCGUCCUUCUUGUUAACAAGUCACCCUAUAAUAUAACAAUCCAUUGGUAUUUAAUCUUAAGCACCUGAUUACUUGAUUCCAUUAUUUUCAAGUACUUGAUGAUCGGACAAAACAAGUUUGUUAUUAAAUUCUGUUUUCGCUAUUCUAGAAUAUAUAUUUUUUGUUGUCUGGCGUAGGCAUGGAGUGAAGCAAUGGCUGAAUUGUUGGGCUGAUGGGGUGCCAAUGGUCACGCAACGCCCGAUCCUGCCGAACCACAACUUCACCUACCGGUUCAACGUCGUCGGUCAAGAAGGCACCCUCUGGUGGCAUGCUCACGUCCCAUUCCUCCGGGCAACCCUGCACGGUGCUCUCAUAAUCCGGCCGAGACAUGGGGCCAUCUCCUAUCCAUUUCCAAAGCCUGAUAUGGAGGUUCCCAUCAUUAUAGGUUCGUGAAAUUAUUCAUCUUUAUACUGUCAAGCUUAGGUCCGUUCGAACAUAUAAAAAUGUACUGUUCCUACCCGAAUCGAAAUGUUUUGGCACCAGUUUCUGAUCCUGAUGAUGUGGCAGGGGACUGGUGGCAGCUGGACCUUCCACAGGUGUAUCGGAGCAUGAAGAAUGAUUCCUUUGAUUUCUUCGCUAGUGGUUCCACAAUCAAUGGCAAGCUUGGAGAUCUUUUCAAUUGCUCCGGUAAGCAAAUUGCAGAAUAUGCAUGUCUGUGUCGACGACAUGUUGCUUUAUUCUUUCUGUACAAAUAAAGUGCGUGUUUCAACUUGCAAUUCAACUCUGAAGGUGUGCCGGAAGGUGGCUACGUGCUCGACGUUGUGCCUGGCAAGACCUACCUGCUACGAGUAAUCAACGCCGGUCUCUUCUCAGAGUUCUACCUAAAGAUAGCUGCGCACAAAUUCACAGUGGUCGCUGCCGAUGCCAACUAUGUCAGCCCCUACACCACGGAUGUCAUCGCGAUCGCGCCUGGCGAGACGGUGGACGCA
rnacentral:lncRNA from 1 species